rnacentral:lncRNA from 1 species
UCUUUUUUUGUUUCUUUAAUGCUUCCAAUGAUUGGUGACAUGCAAUUCUUAAGAGAUUAUCCUAUUGAUGAGAAGGGUACUGUAGAUUUUAAAUUUUUCACAAUUGUUCUUUUGUCAUGUAUAAAUUUAGCAGAAAACUUUCUAAGAUUUUACUGUGUCUCCUACCAAAAAUAUAGAAAUUUACUGCAUUUCUUAUUCAUUCCUAUUAAAAAAUAUAUAUUUUCAACAAAUACAACUUUAUAGAGCUCUACAGUGACGAUGACAAACAAAAUUCCGAAGAAAAGAAAAAAUUCACACUCGUAUUGUUCAGCAUUGGCUGCAAAUUAUCACAAGCAGUUUAAUAUGCUAGCAGUGUCAUUUGCAUCAUGAACAUAAAUAGGCAAAAGUAUAUUAUUAAACAAAGUUAGAAGCUGGAAAUAAUGACCAAAAUAAUAAAGAGAGGAACUUACAUGUAUAACCAGAACUGGACAGUUAACAUUCCGUAUUUUGUCUAUAUUCUGUAAAUAACAGACAGUUUCUCCAAUUAAAAAUGAAGAACGGAACUAAGUUAAUAUCUUAAAAAGAACAAGAGAUUGAAGGAACUGGUGCUAAACUUGCCUUGAAAAUGUCAAACCAAAAUGUCAUCUUGACAGGAUAUAAAACCCGUAUGCCCGAAAGGAUUGCACUAUGAAGAACAACACCUCUCAAUUUAUGUAAACGAGAAGCUAAAUGCAGGGUUGGUCCACUUCCAACAGAUUGUCCAUACAAGAUCAAAUCCUCUUGCUUGACUUCAUAAUCAUUUUUCAGACAAUUAUACACAGCCUCAAUGUCAUAAUAUGUGUUGAAUUCAGACGGCUAUUAAAAUUAUAGAAACAACGACUGAUCAGGUGUGGAACUAGUCACGUAUAUAGGCGAAGAGACAAAUGGAGACAUGUAGGUAAUCAAAUUAUUGACUCAAAAUCUAGGGUUUAUAGAAUGCUUUUAGUUUAUACCUUGCCAGAAGAUGCUCCAUAUCCUGAAUAAUCAUAGCUGCAGCCAAAAUAGCAAAAUGUCAAAAUAAGUGCCAAAAAACAUAACUUGCUAUAAUCUUAACAACAAAGGCUUAGCAGCAGCAUAUGAACUUAUGAAACCUCAGAAAAUUAUUUUCUCUAAACCUUAACAUGAUGGCUUUUCGUUUUAUUUAUUUAAUUUUUUUGCAUGUAUUUGGGAUUAAGGCUUAGCGUUGUUGCUGUAUAUUGGAAUGAUAAAAAAGAUAUAAAAUCUCGAUUAGCUAAAUUUGAGUAUAUACUCAGCAUACAAUCACAAAAUGGAAAAAAAAAUAAAAAAAUAAAAAUUCAGAUAAAUUUUAACACUUUAACACAAAAGCUAAUUUGAAUUAGCAGAUAGUGACAAAUGGUGCAACAAAUUUCCAAAGAGAUCGGGAUAACACCAGAAAAUAUCUGGCUUAUGAUCAAAUUUAAUUUAGAAAGGACAAUUUAUCAAAUUCCUUUGGGGUGUACUCAGAAUCUAAGGUCACAAAAGUGAAAAAGAAAUGCUUAUAAAUCUGCAAAAUUAUUAAAUCAAUGCCCAGAUAAAAAUUGGCCCAUGAUUCUAAGUCUUCCUCUCUAUAAAACCAACAGAUACGAUAGCACCGACAACCAACAAAUCAAAAGAUAAAAUAGGAAAAAAUAAAUAAAUAAAUAAAAGAGAGAAAUCACGAUCAGCAAAUGAUGGGUGUUGAAGUAAUUGCACAAACAAAACAAAACAAAUAAAAGCAAACCCAUUAAUCCAUAACUAAAAAAUAAUUAAUACCCAGAAUCGAUUAUUAUCCCCAGUCCAAAACAAUCAUUAAAUAAAAGUGAGCCACAAAAUCAGAAAAUUAGUAUUCAAAACAACCACCAAAAUAUGAACAUAGAACAGGAUUGAAAUCGAAAAUCAAAAAAUCAGAAAAAGAAAAGAAAAUACUCCCAGAAAUGAAGCAAUAAUGAAAGAAAAUGGGCAGAGAAAUAAUUCCAAAAAAAAUCAAAACCAAUAAACCAGAAAAAGAAAAACAAUUAUACCUCAUAAUAUUAACCCUUAAAUGAGCUCUAAGCUCAAUAAACAGCUCAAGCAUUUGGCCAAGGUCAGCUGCGUUCCCAUGGGAAUAUAAAAGGGUAAACCUCGCAAAAGGGUGUUUCCAAAACGUUGCCACAAUUUUAUUGCCGGCUUUUGUCUCCAACAAGUGAACGUCCAUAUUCUUAUCAGCUGUGACUCCAGGCAGAAUCAACCUCCCAUCUUCUUCUCUACAUAUAUCAUAAGUUGGCGGGUCAGGCGGGAAGAAAGCGAAUUUCGCUGCCACAUUAGACGUUACAUUUCCCAUUUACUUUCCUUUUUGUUUUUCCUCUAUUACAAAAACAAAUUCUUCAACGCAAACCCAGUUCAAAAAUAUGGCGUAUAUACAAUAAAUGAUCGUUAAAGAAAAAAAAAAAAAAGAUAAAAGAUUUUUAUCUGGUUUAAGUAAAUUUUGGUUAUGAUGUUUUUAUGGGUUAAUGAGAAAAGAUCCAAUUUAAGAGGGCGAGUUGAAGAUGGCGGUGAUGAUGGUGGUGAGGAGGGAACAGAAACCCAGAAAAUGAAUAAUGAUUUGGAUACGAAGUUUUGGAGGACAAAUGAGAGAGGGAGAGACAGAAAGGAAAAAUAUGUUUUGGUUUAGAGUUUUGGUGGAUGAUGAAUUGUUAGUGUAAACCUGCUUCAAUUUUUUUUUUUUUUUAAAAAAAAAAACCUGCUUUUGUUAUUUAUCUAUUUAUUUAUUUAAAUUAUUUUUGUAUCUUUGACCUGUUUUCUAUUUUUGAGAUGAUGUUAGAAAGUACAGUUUUGACCCUUUUUUUCUUGUACACUCCAUCAAUUAUAUGAGCAACAAGAAAAAAAAAAAUUGUCUAUUGGUAAUUUAUUAACUUUUGAAAAUUAAUUUUCUUCAAAAGCAAUAUUUUUAUCAUGAAAAAUAAAUUUAAAACUCUUAUUGUUAACAAAUAAAUUUAAAAACUUUAUUUAAAUAUUUUCAUGUUUUUUUAGGUUACUUGUGUCAAAUUAAUUUUUAAUAGUCUCUUACUAAUAUAUUCUUGGAUUAUACCUUUUGAGUUUUAAUUUUAUUAUGCCAAUAUAGCUUAAAAGAAAGAAAUAAUGUUAGUUUUCAUUUUUCAAAAUGGAGGUGGAUAUAUUAUUUAUAGUAAAAAAAAUAGAAUUAUUCAAAAUUUUGGGUCAAUUUUGGUAUAUUUCUUGUUGUUUCCUUAUUGUUUAAUAUGAUAUUUAUUAUUAAUAUAAUAUCUUAAUUUUAAUUCAACAUUAGACAUUUGUAGUUUGUGCAAUUAUAAAUAAAGUUCUUUGAAUGGAGGAAAACGUGUCAACUUGUUUAACUAAUAAUUAAUCAUUACUAUUAAAAAAAGUAAUUAAUAUUGCUUAAAUAAUAAAUUUUAUUUGUAUUUUUUAAUAUAUUUUUUAUUAAUUUAAUAUUAGAUAUCAGAAAAUAGAUAACCGAAUAAGAAAAUUAUUUAUGACGAGGCAUAUGAAAUUAAGAAAAAAAGAGAGAUAAAUAAAAAAGAAAAUCAUUUAUUUUUACUCAAAGGUGAUAUAUAAUUUUUUGCACAUAAAUCGCAAUUUUGUCUUUUCAACAUAAGUUGAAAGACGUCUUAAAAACGGAGGCUACGUCCUUCAAAAAAAGUGUUCUUAAACGUUAAUUCCUUAAUUAAUUAAAAGUAAUAUAAAGAUGAAAAAAAGAAAAUAAAAAAGAGGGCAUGAUGAUGGAUGGACGGCAGAGCUUUGGUCAAAGGCUGCCGGAGGAUCUGAGCCUGUGGAGGAGAAAGAGAAAUGUCAGUGUCAGACAUUCUUUCUUUCAAUUGGUAAGCCCAUUGUUUGCAAAUCUUAAAAUUCUUAUGUGCAUAAAUAAAAAUACAAUACAAAUAUUUAUUUAAAAUAUAAAAAUAAUAAAAAAAUAAAAUAAUUAACUCUAAUCUCAAUGAGAAGAUUGAUUGGUUGGUUGGUUGAAAUGUCUUCCUUCCUAUCAUGAAUUUCAUCUAUUUGUUUUGAGAAUUUUAGAACAUUAAUUCAAAAUUGAAAUUAUCAUAUUUGAGAAUGUUGAUAUUAGGAUGUGAUCUUGAAAAUUGUUCUUUUAUUCAUAAAGUCUAUUUAAUAAUAAUUACAAAGUUUUGUUUUAUUUUUCCUAAUAAAAGAUCCAAAUCAUAACUUCAAUUGUUUUUUUCUUAGAUAUUUGGUUGAGUGAAUAAAGAAUAUGACAGUGAUUAGGAUUGGUAAUCUAAAUCUUAUUUUGUUUUUUUUUUUCUUUAGGAAUAAAAUCUUAAUUUAAUAUUUGAUUGAAUAUAAAUUUAAUUAUAACGUGGAAAUUUUCAAAAUAAAUGUUUUUAAUCAAAUUAGAAAUUUCAUUAAAAAGUUAAAAUAAAUUGUAUGUGAAAUACAGAUCAAUAUGUUUUUAUAUUUUUAUAUAGAAAGUCUAAUAAUAAAUUACUUAUACAAAAACUAAAAAAAAUACAAUCUUGAUUUGAAGUAUCUGAUUGAGCUGACAGAGCAUAAUAUUUGCAUAAUAUGUGAUCGGUUGUUCCAUGAUCAUUCUACAGUCCGAUAUGAUCACUUUCAAAUUUAUUUCUUCUAUUAAAAAGAAGAUUUACAUUUUUUCUGCAUAACCGUUCAAAUAACAAAAUACCCUAAACUGAAUAUUAAACUAUAUAAAUUACAACUCAACUAUUAUAUUAACCUAUCAUUAUCCUUGAUAUAUAAUUUAUUUUAUAUAUAAAUGAUGAAAGCCUGUAUUAUCUCAAACUUCAAUAUUAUUGUAUUAGACUAGGAAAAUAUAUAAAUGGAUAGAGGAAUAGAAAUGCUAUGUUUUGUCAUAGACAAUUCGGUAGGUGGUGAAAUAGAAAUAUAGAAUUGAUUGACUAGUCCUUAAAGAAUAGGGGACCCCACAAGGAGGGGACCUAAUUAAAUUCUAUGGAGAUAGAGAAUUUGUCAAUUAUUAAUUGGAGGUCCUUAUCAGGAAAAUGAAAUUUGAUUAUUCCAAUGCCAAAAAUAGAUUUUGAGGGACAUAUUUGCUAUGUUCACUCCAAACUGAGGCACAUGGUCUUUGUAUUUAUUAGAAGUUAUAUUUUCAUUAAAAUACAUAAAGUGGAUUCACAUGAAUUAAGAUAAAUAAAUAAAUAAAUAAAUAAAGUUAAAAGCCAAUGGUCAUCAAGUGACCCAAUUACAGGAGUCACUGAAACAAGUAAAGCUGACAGCAGACAAAACAGACAAAACCAACUAAUUUCAAUCUUAUGUCCCUUAAAAUAUCAUAGACCAAGUGACUGUUAUUUUUUUUUCCUAAAAAAAUUAUUUCAAGAAAAAUAAAAUUAUUUUCAAUACAAAUAAAUUUUAAAAAGGUUGAAUUUUAGAAAAAAAAUUGAAUAAUGAGCAACCCACAAAGUGCAUUUUUCUUGCUUUUUGUAGAGACUAUCUCCUCGUUACAAAUGAGCAAUUUUAUCAUUACAUUAUUACAUUACAAAUGGAGAAAUAUUUUCUGUUUAUAAAUAUAGUUAUUUGAGAUAGUAUUUUUAUGCACAAAUAUUUAUCGCUUUUGAAUAUUAAGAAAUAAUAUUCUUUUCUUAAUUAACAAUCAGUAAUUUGGUCAAAAUAACGAACAGUUUAAAUAAUUUUUUAAAAAAUUAUUUUCUUAAUUAAAGUGUAAAAAACUUAAAUGACAUAUAUUUAUAGACGGAGGGACUACUUAAUUAUUAACAUAUUAACAAAUUUAUAAUUAGUAAUAAUUCAAUAAUUUCGCAAGACAUUUUACCAUAAAAUUUUGUUUGAUAUUUUUAUUAUUCUUUAAUAGUAAUAAAACACUAAAAAACUUUACUAAAUUAAACAAUAUGAUCCAUAGAUUUUAAUUUUACUAAAAGUAUUUGCAGUAAUUUUUUAAAUUAACCUGAGUAAAAUUUAGGUUGAGUCCAAAUUGGUAGACCGAGUCAAAAAGGCCACAACACAAAGUGCUUGAAAGUUGGUGCACAAAACAAAAGGGAAAAAGAAACUGAAAAGCAAAACCUUGGUCUUAAAGGAUCGCUAAAGACAGAAAUGCCACUUCUAAAAUAAAAUAGUACACAACUGUUAACAGGAUAUACAAGAGCCCACAAAAUUACAAUAAGAUCAGAUGUACUUCAACUCCAUCAUUGUAUAAUGGAUCAUCACUAUCAUGUCCGCGAUACUAUUAAAAUUUUUACAUUCAUGGGACGGGACCAAGAAAAUUAAAGGGGCGGCCGGCCGGCGGUAGUUCCACCAUUGAUGACAUUAAUUCGCUAAUUACUGUCGAUCGAUUUAGAAUUUAAUUUUCAAGGAACAUAAUGAAGAAAAUUGAAUAAGUUAAAGGUUGACACUAAGUACGGAUGUACAAGAAAAUUGCUAUAACAGUUUAUAGCUCAGCAAAAUCGAAGCAGUGAAGGUGGUGAAAGUGGAGCAUGUGCAGUGGUUUGGAGUAUGAGAAGCAGUGAAAACUGAAAGGUAUAAGAAAUUGAAAUUGUGAAAGUUUAUUUUCCCUAAGACUUAUUUUUAAUAUUUUAAUAACAGGCCUGGGUUAAUAUUCAAAUAAAAAUAAUAAUAAUGUAAAAUGAAUUAACUUUAUGUCAGGAAUAUGAAAACAUACUCCUAUGGCCUAUUUUACAAAACUCAGAGAAUAAGGCUAGCUAUCUGCAAUAUAUCACAUAAACACAAGCACAAACAAGAAACAUACUCUUAUAAAAAAUUUCAAACUUGGAAACUUCCUUUGUUUUUCUUUCUUUCUUUAUUCAGAUUACCCGAUUAACAUUGCAUAUAAGAACUGAAACAGCUGUUUAUCUUAUUAACAUCGCACAUAAGAACUGAGACAACUGUUUAUUAUAUUUAACAGUACCGGUCCCCAUAAAUUUAAAAAAGAAAAUUGCCCAAAGCACAGAACAAACAACUCAUUUUAAUACAUAGAACCAAUGAAUAAGAUGCAAUAAUAAAGUGGGCUGCAGCAAUAUAGACUUACUUUUGAGAGAACUUCUGAGUACACCAGGAAUCGUGAUUUCCCAAAAUAACAGCUUUAGGAAAUUUAAGAUCUGCAACACUUUGGACGAGCUCUACAUUCUCAUUACCAAAAUCACCUAAACAAGGCCCAAGGAGAUGGGAGGACAAGAAAACAUAACAAAAGGCCAAAAAGUCUAAUAGGUUAGAUUUACAUUUUACUAGUAAUGUUGCAAACGCAUACUCAGAAUGACUGGUCAUGGUACAUAUAAGGCUGAUUUUCAUAAUUCUCAUGAACAUGCAUAUAGUGCAUCUGCAUGCACUAUAUGUCAAUAUGAACUGAAAAUUGUUGGUGUCCCACAUGGAACCAGAUCCCUUUUAAAUAUUUCCUUGAUAUUUGGCUUGUCAGUGAAGACAGUCAAAAAGGGUUGUGAAGGCACCGUGUAUGAAUUAAAUGAGGACCAGCCAAAGACACCGUACAGGUAAAAGGUGAUUGAGAAGAAAACCUGCCUGUAAACAGCACCAAAUCCAGCUGCAUAAUGCAACAUAUAUUAGGUAGGUAGAGGAUAGCUAUGCACAAAAAUAAUAGGAAAUGCUCACGGAAAUCUGAAAGAAAAUUGAGAGAAAAAAAAAAUGGAUGCUUAAAGGCAACAACACCAAGCUAUAAAGAGUUUGUUGACCCUCAACAACUUAAUCUUACAUAGAAUUUUUACUAAAAUCAAUUUUUAGAAUUCUGAAAUGAAUCUCAAGAUGGACUCCCAAAGUUAGCUAAACUCAAAUAGGCACUACAAAAAGCUUGAAUAGUCCAUGGCCCAAAUAAGCACAUAGCAACCUCAACUUAAACUCAAUCUCAGUCCUGCUUAUUAGCAUCCUUAAUGCAGGAUUGUUCACCUGUGUUACAUUUUUCCUACACCAAUAUUUUUAAAUAUGAAAUGUAUGCAUAUGUGAGUGUCUUUAGUUCCAGCAGAAACUAUCCUUCAAUGCAGAAAAAGAGAAACACAAGAAAAGGGGCACUAUGAUGAGCAUCAACUUAAUUAAGGGUGUCUUUUGCAUGCCAAAGUUUAGUGGUUUUAACUGAUACAGACAACCCAAUAUAAUGUCGGCAUAACCACCUGUGUCUCUUGAUUGCAAUUGGGAGACGCAAUGGUUGGCACCAGCCUCAAGCUCAUAGAAACGCUACAUUGAAAUUCUGUUCUUUCAAUGUGGGAUCCAAGUCCCAUAAAUUAUAAUUGGGAUAAUAACAUCAUCUUUUUCUUCUCUUGGAUCCUUGGAUCCAUGGAUCAGGCCCACCAAAGUACGGCCAUCCAUUAUCGUCUUUGUCUAUUUCUCAUGACUCCCAAAUUCAUGUUCAACGAUGCCAUCUAAAUUCACUUUCCAUAGAUAUAUUGCAUUUUGGCCCAUUAAUGAACCCAAAAACUCUGCAAAACCUCUACAGAACACCUAAAAUGAAUUGUGACAGAUGACUCCUAUUUUCACAUUACAAAUCCCAAAAUCAGUGCAGAUGUUUUCUCCUCAAUUACAAGGAAAAUUACUUUUUAGUUAUGAACACGAAUAUAUAGAAUUAUAGAGUAAUAAACGCCCAUCCCCCCGACAGACACACACACACAAAAAGCGAAGAGAAGUACCUGCAGAAGUUGAAGAGCCUUUGUAUCCUCUUCCAGAUUCCAAUCAUCAUGCUUCAAAAAAACCCCAGAAUUUUCAAACAAAGCAACAUAAUUUGCUGAAUAAAAAUUUUCCAAAAAUGAAAUGAUUCCACAAUUAAAACUUAUAUUAAUCAAUUGCUAACCACACCAACAAAACCAAAGAUAGGGUUUCCAAGUUGAAAACGGAACACAUGCUUCGAAGAGCAAAUAAAUGCGAGAGAGAGAAACUCACUACGUCUCCGACGACAGCUACUCGAGCCGACGCCGACAUUGAAGAGCAAUCGGUGGUUCGCUUAGAGGAAAGGAAGGGGCGAGUAUGAGAACUGGACAAAAAGCACGGAAAGGGCGCGUGAAGAAACGCGCUUAAGUUUGACAUAACAUAACCUUCGCUUCCAAUUUCGCGCGCUAUUUUUACUGGCAAAUACUAGAGUAGGUGGAACUUUAAGCCGUUAAACUAAUACUAUUGCUGUCCACGUCACUGCCGUUCCGUGUAAUUAUUAUUUUUUUAUUUUUAUAAAUUUUUGGGAGUUGAAUUCAUUUCGAAGCUAAAACUUAUUUGAGUUUUAAUUUAAUUUAUUUCAACAAAAAAGAUUUAAAUUUUUAAUAUAAUUUUUUUUAUGAUUAAUAUAAUAGUUAGAAGUGUUUUCAAACUAAUUUAUGAGCACUGCGAUUAAAUUUUCUUUAAAUAUUUUAAUUUUAAUUGAGUUGAAUUCAAUAAUGGAAAUUAGAAAUCAAUUUUUACCAUGUGAAUUAGAAAAUACUGCCAAAUGUCAAUCUCAAGCUAUGACUCAUUUUUCAAAAUUAAAUGGCAAUUUUUCAGAGCAUGUGAUAUCAAAGCAUUUUGCAGCAUCCUUACUGUUUCCUAAGUCAAUUUUUCAUCUUCUGUUAUUGUAACACGUCAAAAUGUCAAUAUGAAGCUGAAAUAUCUCAACCCAAAUUUCUCUAAGCUACAUCCAAGAUUUUUCCCUAAUUUAAUAUGUCUAUACAAAGAUUUUUCUCUAAGCUGAAAUAUCAAAUUUCUCUAAUUUGAUAUAUCUAAUUUUUACAUUUUACAUUAUUUUUACAUUGUUUGAUAUAUGAUUUUUCAAGUUGGAAGAUUACGUAUGGAAAAAUUAUAUCUAAAAUAUAUCUGUCAAAUAUCUGACCUAUCCAAUUCUCUCAUUUAAAUAUUUUACCAAAAAAAAAAAAAAAAAAAAAAAAAAGUUACGUGUCAGAAGACUCAAGAACUUUUCUUCAUUAAGAACCUUACAAGAACCUAAAUUCUCAGGCACAAAUUAACAGCUAAUAAGCAUAAGCUCUUUCUUUCUUCUUUCAUGGCUAUCAAAACCACCGUUGCCCUCCUAAUAUUUCUAAUCACUCUCAAUUUUCAUUUCUUGGGGGCAAAAGAUUGGAUCAAAGCAGCCUACUAUGAUUCCUCGAGUAACCUCCCUGCAUCUGAAGUAAAUUCUGCUCUUUUCACUCACAUUUUCUAUGCUUUUGCUGCUAUAAACACUUCCACUUACCAGCUUUCGUUCCCCUUCUCUACUGAAUCAUCUCUCUCGACUUUCACAGUUAACAUUAAACGAAAUAACCCAUCUGUCAUUCCAGUUCUGUCAAUAGGACUCGCAUAUAGAGACUAUUCAACAUUUUCUUCCAUGGUUAGCAAACCUUCUUAUAGGAAGUCUUUUAUCAAGUCUUCAAUGAAAAAAGCCAGGUUUCACGGAUUUGGUGGCCUGGACCUCUGUUGGCUUUGGCCUAACACAACAUCCGACAUGGAAAAUAUUGGAGUUCUUUUAGAUGAAUGGCGUGAAGCUAUAAAUUUUGAGUCAAGAAACAGCAAUGGUACUUCUGAGCCAAAACUUAUCCUGACAAUGGCUAUUUAUCGCCAGCCAACUAUUGCCAAUACGAGUUUCCCAGUUGAAUCCAUGCAAAGAAACUUGGAUUGGGCAAAUCUUGUAGCCUAUGAUUAUCAUUUGCCUUUAAAAGAGAAUAUUACAGGUAAUCAUGCAGCUUUAUUUGAUCCUUUAGGUCAUAUUAGUACUGAUUCUGGUAUAAAGGGAUGGUUAAGGAGAGGAUUGACAUCAGAAAAGCUGGUUUUGGGUUUGCCUUAUCAUGGCUAUGCAUGGAAAUUAGUGAACUCAAAUGACAAGUACUCCAUUGGUGCACUAGCAUCAGGACAAGAGGUUACAAAGGAUGGUUCAAUAGGCUACAAGUUGAUCAAAUCUGUAAUCCGUGAUUAUGGCUAUGGAGCCAUUUCAAGCUACAAUGCUACAUAUGUAGUUAACUACUUUAGAAUCAAAUCAAUUUGGAUCAAUUUCGAUGACGUUGAGGCUAUUCAGACUAAAAUUUUAUAUGCCAAGACAAAGGGAUUGCUUGGGUACAAUGCUUUUCAGCUUGGAAACGAUGAUGAUAACUGGGAGCUUUCUCGAGCUGGUAUGGAAAUUGUUCAUCUAUUACCUAAGUUCUGUUUGAUACUUUUUGUUGAGAAAAGUAAUCAUAAAAGCUUGAAAGCAGCUAAAUAAUACUCUCCAACUACUUUUUCUAACAGCAUAAAAAAUUUUAUUUUUCUGAAGAAAUAGUUGCAAUCUGUAUGCCAGACAAUCGUAUAUAUAAUUAUAUGCACUGGAAUGAGGUAUUUAAAUAAUUUCUGUAAGUUGUUUUGUGUAUCUUUCUAAUACCUGGAAUAAAUUGGCAGCUUAUGAGGUUGGUGAAGUUCAUGAAAGGAAAAAGCAUUUAUGGAUUAGAGUUUCAAUCCCAAUUGCAAUUAUUACUCUGCUGAUCCUACUUGGGUUUCUAUCAUAUUAUAUAAAAAGCAGAAAACUUGAAUCAAAAGGUAAAGAUUUUCUUAUUUUUGCCUACUUAGACUCCAUUGUUUUGCUUUCUUUAGAAAUAGGUAAAUAUCUAUGAACAUGAUUCUUGACAGCAUUUGGAUUCUCUCUGUGUUUUAUGUUUCAGGGAAACUGAGUUUUGGUGAUACAGCAGUUGAUGAAUAUCAGUACCAAAAUGCUCCAAAUUUGCAAAUAUUCAAGUUUUCUGAAAUCAAAGCAGCUACAGGCAACUUUUCAUGCGAAAAUAGGCUUGGAGAGGGUGGAUAUGGACCUGUUUACAAGGUGAAUUUCAACAAAUCCUUCAUUUUAUGUGCUUCUUAUAAGGUUAAUAAAACUAGUAACUAUAUAUAUGUAUAUAAAAAUGAACUUGGAAUGAAUAUAUUCAAAUUGCUAUGUAUUUGAAUCAUUGGGUGUAAGAAAAUUCCAUAUUGACUAUUUUGUUGGGCUUCGUCAGGGUAAACUUGCAAAGGGAGGGGAAAUAGCAGUGAAAAGGCUUUCAAAAACUUCACAUCAAGGAUUUAAGGAGUUCAUGAACGAAGUUAAACUUACAGCAAAGCUGCAACAUGUUAAUCUAAUAAGGCUUUUGGGAUUUUGCACUGAUAGAGGAGAGAAAAUGUUGAUAUAUGAGUACAUGCCUAACAAAAGCUUGGAUUUCUAUUUGUUUGGUAAAUGAUAUAUUAUUUAUUUCCCUAUUUGGUUCUCUCUCCAGAUUAGAAAUAAUAAAAGAAGCUUAGGCUCGUAACUCUGUUUUUGAUGCAGAUCAAAAGAGAAGAUUGGAAUUGAAUUUGGAACGACGCGUUCAUAUCAUUGAAGGGAUUGCUCAAGGGCUUAUGUACCUUCAAGAAUACUCAAAUUUGACAAUAAUUCAUAGAGAUAUUAAAGCUAGCAACAUUUUACUAGACAAUGAGAUGAAGCCAAAGAUUUCUGAUUUUGGUAUGGCGAGAAUUUUGCAGAAGGAGAGCAAUGAAGCCAACACAGGCCAGAUUGUUGGGACAUAGUAAGUAAAUUGCUUCUUGAAAAGCAAUGUAUUUCAUACCAUCUAACAAAUACAUACAUACUUAUAUAUACAUAUAUGUGUGUGUGUGUGUGUGUGUGUGUGGCUUAAUGAUCUCAUUUAUUCAUGAAAAAUUGCAGUGGCUACGUACCUCCUGAAUAUGUGAAAAGAGGUACCUACUCCAUGAAGUAUGAUGUUUAUAGCUUUGGAGUUUUGCUUCUGCAAAUCAUAAGUGGGAAGAGAAACACAUGUUUUUAUGGUUCAAGUGAAAAUCUAAACCUUCAGGAAUAUGUAAGUCACCUUCUUUACACUUGCUUUGACAUAUUAGGCAAUUGGUGUAUUGAUCUUGUUUCGCGCAUUGCAGGCGUACGAAUUGUGGAAAGAAAAGGGCGGUGAGGAAUUUAUAGAUCCAACAUUAGAUGAUAAAUGUUCUUCCUGUAAGCUCUUGAGAUACCUGCAAGUAGCCCUGCUAUGCGUGCAAGAAAGUCCAUUGGAUAGACCUUCAAUCUUGGAAGUUUAUUCCAUGCUGAAAAACGAAAAUGAUGCUAUUGCUCGUCCUAAAAGACCUGCAUUUUCUGUCCUGAAUUGUGAAGACGAAGAAAAUAGACACACACCAGGUCAAGAAAUUUGUUCAGUCAAUGAUGUGUCCAUUACCGAAAUGUUGCCCAGAUAACAUAGCUUUGUCUUUUUCAAAUGAAAUUGUAUAAACAGGCAUACAAUUGCAUUUUAGAGUAAACAAUUUCUAAUCCAUGGAUGCUAACAUUGCAAUAUGUUAAAACAUCACCUAUUAAUUGACAUUUUAUUCCCUUUUUCAUUCUAAUUAACCCCUUCAUUUGCAUUUAGCAAACAUUAGUAUUUAAUUAAGAUGAUUUUUUAUCAUUAAAUAAUAGAAAUACAAACUAAUGAUAUCCAAUGGAAUUAUAAUUAAUAACCACUAAAUAAUGAAAUUACAGUAAUGUGACUAACUAAUUGAAUUGAAAUAUAAUACCAAUUUAUUAAAAUUUUGCCUUAUAAUUAAAUCUUUUUGUAUUUUAUUUAAUUAUAAAAAAUUAACAAAUUAAUAAACGUUUCAAUUGAAAAUAUGAAGUUUCAAAAAGAAGAAAGUAAAAAGGACAUAAUUUAUUUUAUAAACAUUUCAAAUAUUUCAAUCUAUUAAUUAAAAAUUUCAAUUUAUUACUUGAAAAUUUCUAAACGGAUGUAAUUUCACAUUUUAUCAUUUAAUUAAAAUAAAUUAUUUAAAUUAAAUCAACAACAGUUUUCUAAAAACAUUUAUCCUUCAAAUUGUUUUAAAAAAAUAUACAAUUACACAAUAUGCCAACCAGAAUUAUAUAAACAUACUACUACCAGUAAUAAACUCAAAACUCUAUUAAUCUGGAGGCGUGGAUUCAGUUGUUUACAACCAAAAGAAGGGCCAAAAAGAAAUUAUUAACAUUUUUCUCCAAUUAAUCACUAAGAUUUUUUCAAUAAAAAAAAGGGAAAAAGAAAACAUUUGUAAAAAGAAAAUCCAGACCAAGAAACGUUUUGAGUCGAGGCUCAGAUUUUAUUGUGUCAAUCAGGAAGGUGAACAGAGCUAUGGCUGCAACAAAGAAACUAAGUGGGAGUGAGAGAGUUGGAGCCAAUAUAAAUAAAUAAAUAAAUAAACAAAGGGAAAGUAAUUAUUUAGUCCAUGAGGUUCGAAGCAAACAUUGUGCAGCCAAAAACGCUAUUACCCUUUUGAGUGUCUGAUUUCGCUGAUCAGAAACAUCAUCACUGCCUCAAAAACACAAAGAUAGAUAGGAACAUUUUGGUCAUUGUACAAAUUUUCCUGCGAAACAAACAAGGCUUGAAGAGAAAGAUAAAAAGAAAAGGAGGCUCAGAUCAGAUAUCCAAAGAAUUGGACAAGAAAGAAACACCAUUAAACCAUAACUGCAAUUAAGGAAUGACAGAAAUUGAGAGAAACCUCUUUUGGCUUAUUUCCAAAGAUUGCCCCGCCAAGAUAAAUGGUUAUUUAUAUCUAAUCCUGAUUUUUGAUUACUGAUAUAUCAUCAUAGCCUCAUCAAAUAGACAUUAUGUAUAUUAUCUAUGUUGCAUGGAAACGCAGGAACGGAAACGGACAACAUAUGAGAAAUAUCCAGUUUAUAGAAAUGUAUUUUCGAGAGGGGAACAGAGCUUCCAAAUUGCCCCGAGGAGUUUCCAAACAUUUCCGUGCGACAUAGUAUAUUAUAUAUAGAUAGACAGAAUGCAGAGGAAGUUGAUUAAUUAAUUAAUUAAUUUUGUUUAAUGGCUGUUGCCAACAUAAAAAAAAAUGAAAUCAUCGACUUAGCUAACAAUCUAACAGGAGGAGUCAACCACCCUGAAACCUGCCGCCCGCCUGAGAGCAAAGCCUCAUUCCCAAAUUAAUGAGAUACAAGUUUCCAAUGAACCAAACAAGGAGAGAAAGAAACCAAGGGAUUUGGUAAAUCACAAGGCCCCAUUUACAAAAUGACAUUUCAAAUGAAUUUUCAUUUGCACCAAACAUGAAAGUCUAGAUUUGUAAAUGAAUUCAUUUAAAAUUUUGUAGAAUUCAUUUAAACCAAGAGAGACGACGGAUGGAAAUAAACCACACUCAUACUGGUUAAGUUACUCCCACUGCCAAAAUUGACAGACAAGCACAAGGACAUCUGGGAAAUAAACUCUAACCUGCCUUGAGAGGUAGGCUCAGAUUCGCCUUUGGUCAGACAGAAAAGAGAACAACAUGACCAUGGCUGCAACAAAAACAGGGGAAAAUCAAAGCUCAAAGUUGCCUAGCCAAAGCUCUGUUCCUUACAACGUCUGUUUUCCACUAAAAAAAAUCAUCACAGCCUCAUAAAAAGGAAAAAUUUCAGCAAACCAAACAGAUACUUAACAGAGAUAGAGAAAUCUGAAGAAAGACAAGGUUCAGAUCAGAUAUGCCUUUGAAUCAGACAAGAAAGAAACAAUGGCAUCACUAUGGCUGCAGCUCGCAAAGGCUGCCCCGCCAAGAAUGCUUCAGUUCUCUCGAAUCUGAUCUUUUGGGUCACUGAAUAUAUCAUCACAGUCUUAUUAUUAUUAUUAUUACUACUACUAUUAUUAUUAUUAUUGUUGUUGUUGCAUAUAUAUAUAUAUAUAUAUAUAUAUAGAGAGAGAGAGAGAGAGAGAGAGAGAGAGAGAGAUGUUUUAUUUUCCUUUUUCUUUCUUUACCUUUUCUUCCUUUUGGGGCUGUUGGUAAUCUAAGAAGUGAAAAAUCACAGGCUCCGCUACCGAUCAGAGAGGCGGAAGUCAACCACCCGGAAACCAUCCAUAUCUCUCUGAGAGCAAAACCUCAUUCUCAGCUGGAAUUUCCCCUACCAAAGAGAGAAAUACCUAGCUCUUCUCAUCUUUUCAUUUCAAAUUCUCUAUUUAUGGCGAUAUCACCUUGAUUUGAUUAUUCCAUGCUUAGCCUUCCUUUGUGCUGUAUUUUGUGGAAAACUGAGGGGUAUUAUUGCCAAUCUAUUAUCAUUAUUGCGAUUGGUAAAAAGGGAAUCAAAUGGAGGUCAAUUUUGUAAUCACAAGAACCGAAGUACUCAUGUUCAUCUUUUUACGAGACCGCCACUGGCCUUGGUUAUACCCGUGUGCUUAAUGCGUGAGCGGGAGUAAUGGUUAUCGCUUUCUUGCACCAAAAUCGCGAAUAACAAUGCUCCUCUUUACACUUCUUUGAGGAUAAAUAUUAAAUUUAAUCCUUAAUAUUUAAUUAAUUAUAAAAAUUCUUUAAAUUUAGUCACUUUUAUUAAAAAAUUAAAAAUUAUCAUUUCUUUUAUUAAAAAUAUUAAAUGUUAAAAUGGAAAAAAAAAAAACUCAAAUAUAGAAUGGGAAUAAAUAGCUUUAUCUUUUCUUUUCAAACAAAUUUCAACCAAAAAAAAAAAAAAAAAAUUCAAUUAAAUAUUCUAUUAGUUUGAACUUAAAUUAUUAGAUCAGCUCAAGUCUGAUUAUUUUAAGUUUAACCGGAUAUCCAAUCAAGAAAUAAAAAAAUUAAUCAGUCCAAAUUGUCAAUUUCCCACUCUGUUAAGCUCAUACAGUUCACACGCAGUCCCAUUGCGGUCACUCGCCGCCGUUUGGUUCAAAGUUAUGGCCUCUUCCGGUUGCCCAUCACCGGCAGUUAUGAUCAUUGACUAAAAAAAAAAAAUUGAAAGUUCCAUAUGAGCUGAAUUAAAAAAGAACUGAUCGAGAAAAAAGCAAAAAGCUGAAACGAGAGGGAGAUAAUUAAGGAGGCGGCUCAGAUCCGGAUACUAUAUGAUGAGGCAAGAGAAAGGUGAAGCACUACCGCCAUGGCUGCGAGAACCGGUUGCCAGCGAAAAUGGUCGUUUUCAUCGGCCUCCCGGUUCGCCCCGCCGAUAAGAAGCGGGUACUUUCGCCAUUUGUUGCCUGAUUGGACACUCUGGAAAGGAACGUAUCAUCACAGCCUUAUAUGUAUGUGUUUGCAUCAGAAAGGGAAUGAUAAAGAAAAAGAAAAAGAAAAAAAAAAAAGAAAAGAAGAGAACACUUUGUAUGGAGAGAGAGAGAGANNNNNNNNNNNNNNNNNNNNNNNNNNNNNNNNNNNNNNNNNNNNNNNNNNNNNNNNNNNNNNNNNNNNNNNNNNNNNNNNNNNNNNNNNNNNNNNNNNNNNNNNNNNNNNNNNNNNNNNNNNNNNNNNNNNNNNNNNNNNNNNNNNNNNNNNNNNNNNNNNNNNNNNNNNNNNNNNNNNNNNNNNNNNNNNNNNNNNNNNNNNNNNNNNNNNNNNNNNNNNNNNNNNNNNNNNNNNNNNNNNNNNNNNNNNNNNNNNNNNNNNNNNNNNNNNNNNNNNNNNNNNNNNNNNNNNNNNNNNNNNNNNNNNNNNNNNNNNNNNNNNNNNNNNNNNNNNNNNNNNNNNNNNNNNNNNNNNNNNNNNNNNNNNNNNNNNNNNNNNNNNNNNNNNNNNNNNNNNNNNNNNNNNNNNNNNNNNNNNNNNNNNNNNNNNNNNNNNNNNNNNNNNNNNNNNNNNNNNNNNNNNNNNNNNNNNNNNNNNNNNNNNNNNNNNNNNNNNNNNNNNNNNNNNNNNNNNNNNNNNNNNNNNNNNNNNNNNNNNNNNNNNNNNNNNNNNNNNNNNNNNNNNNNNNNNNNNNNNNNNNNNNNNNNNNNNNNNNNNNNNNNNNNNNNNNNNNNNNNNNNNNNNNNNNNNNNNNNNNNNNNNNNNNNNNNNNNNNNNNNNNNNNNNNNNNNNNNNNNNNNNNNNNNNNNNNNNNNNNNNNNNNNNNNNNNNNNNNNNNNNNNNNNNNNNNNNNNNNNNNNNNNNNNNNNNNNNNNNNNNNNNNNNNNNNNNNNNNNNNNNNNNNNNNNNNNNNNNNNNNNNNNNNNNNNNNNNNNNNNNNNNNNNNNNNNNNNNNNNNNNNNNNNNAAAGUAGAAAUUCGAAAACAAUAAAUUUAUAAGGAAAAAAUUCCACAAAUGCAAAAAUAAACAAAAUCCUCUGGAAAUGGAAAAAAUUAUCAACUCCAUGAGCAAUUACACGCUUAUCUCUAUAUAUAUUCCAAUGCGUAAUCUUAACACCAUUAAUUGAAAAAUUAUCUAGAUCAUCAUAGUCAAAAUUAAUUUUAUGAACUAGAUUGCAAAUAUUCGAUUCAACAGAUUCUUUGAAAGUGAAUCCUGAAUUAAAAACCUGUUGAUCAACUUUUGCAAGAACAAUUUGAUGGGCGAGAUCAAUCUGGUCCUGCAAAUCAAGAAUAGCUUCAUUUCGAGCAGCAAAGAAGGUGAUAGAAACGUUUUUUCUUACGCUAUGGCUGAGAGGGUCGCGACGAGCUCUGCGCUGGGUGUAGCAUUGGGUUAUUAAAUUGAAACCUGAAGCUUCAAGUGCUUUUGCCAUUAAAAGGUUGAGUGAAUCAUUUUCUUUUCCACCGUACAAUUUUAGGGAAAGUAUAUUUUACAUCAGUUAAGGCUCCAGUUUUGAGGAAAAAGUCGGUUACAGUUCUGGGAUUACGUUGCUGUGAUGCUUAAGAUGAGGAGGAGGAAGAAGAGAAGAAUGGAUUGGAUUGCUAUGAUUGCAAUUGGGAGAAGCAAUGGUUGGCACCAGCAUCAAGUUCAUAGAAACCCUAGAUUGAAAUUCUGUACUUUCAAUGUGGGAUCCGAGUCCCAUAAAUUAUAAUUAGGAUAAAAACAUCCAAUCUUUUUCUUCUCUUGGAUCCAUGGAUCAGGCCCACCAAAGGACGGCCAUCCAUUACCGUCUUUGUCUAUUUCUCAUGACUCCCAAAUUCAUGUUCAACGAUGCCAUCUAAAUUCACUUUCCAUAGAUAUAUUGCAUUUUGGCCCAUUAAUGAACCCAAAAACUCUGCAAAACCUCUACAGAACACCUAAAAUGAAUUGUGACAGAUGACUCCUAUUUUCACAUUACAAAUCCCAAAAUCAGUGCAGAUGUUUUCUCCUCAAUUACAAGGAAAAUUACUUUUUAGUUAUGAACACGAAUAUAUUUACUUAUAGAGUAAUAAACGCCCAUCCCCCCAACAGGCACACAGACACACAGACACACACACACACACACACAAAAGCGAAGAGAAGUACCUGCAGAAGUUGAAGAGCCUUUGUAUCCUCUUCUAGAUUCCAAUCAUCAUGCUUCAAAAAAACCCCAGAAUUUUCAAAAAAAGAAACAUAAUUUGCUGAAUAAAAAUUUUCCAAAAAUGAAAUGAUUCCACAAUUAAAACUUAUAUUAAUCAAUUGCUAACCACACCAACAAAACCAAAGAUAGGAUUUCCAAGUUGAAAACGGAACACAUGCUUCGAAGAGCAAAUAAAUGCGAGAGAGAGAAACUCACUACGUCUCCGACGACAGCUACUCGAGCCGACGCCGACAUUGAAGAGCAAUCGGUGGUUCGCUUAGAGGAAAGGAAGGGGCGAGUAUGAGCAAAAAGCACGGAGUGGGCGCGUGAAGAAACGCGCUCAAGCUUGACAUAACAUAACCUUCGCUUCCAAUUUGGCGCGCUAUUUUUACUGGCAAAUACUAGAGUAGGUGGAACUUUAAGCCGUUAAACUAACACUAUUGCUGUCCACGUCACUGCCGUUCCGUGUAAUUAUUAUUUUCUAAUUUUUAUAAAAUUUUGGGAGUUGAAUUCAUUUCGAAGCUAAAACUUAUUUGAGUUUUAAUUUAAUUUAUUUCAACAACAAAGAUUUAAAUUUUUAAUAUAAUUUUUUUUAUGCUUAAUAUAAUAGUUAGAAGUGUUUUCAAACUAAUUUAUGAGCACUGCGAUUAAAUUUUCUUUAAAUAUUUUAAUUUUAAUAAUGGAAAUUAGAAAUCAAUUUUUACCAUGUGAUUAGAAAUUAAAUGGUUCGAAAAUACUGUCAAAUGUCAAUCUCAAGCUAUCACUCAUUUUUCGAAAUUAAAUGGUAAUUUUUCAGAACAUGUGAUAUCAAAGCAUUUUGCAGCAUCCUUACUGUUUCCUAAGUCAAUUUUUCAUCUUCUGUUAUUGUAACACGUCAAAAUGUCAGUAUGAAGCUGAAAUAUCUCAACCCAAAUUUCUCUAAGCUACAUCCAAGAUUUUUCCCUAAUUUGAUAUGUCUACACAAAGAUUUUUCUCUAAGCUGAAAUAUCAAAUUUCUCUAAUUUGAUAUGUCUAAUUUUCACAUUGUUUGAUAUAUUAUUUUUCAAGUUGGAAGAUUACGUAUGGAAAAAUUAUAUCUAAAAUAUAUCUGUCAAAUAUCUGACCUAUCCAAUUCUCUCAUUUAAAUAUUUUACCAAAAAAAAAAAAAAAAAAAAAAAAGCAGUGUCACAAAAAUAGGUCUANNNNNNNNNNNNNNNNNNNNNNNNNNNNNNNNNNNNNNNNNNNNNNNNNNNNNNNNNNNNNNNNNNNNNNNNNNNNNNNNNNNNNNNNNNNNNNNNNNNNNNNNNNNNNNNNNNNNNNNNNNNNNNNNNNNNNNNNNNNNNNNNNNNNNNNNNNNNNNNNNNNNNNNNNNNNNNNNNNNNNNNNNNNNNNNNNNNNNNNNNNNNNNNNNNNNNNNNNNNNNNNNNNNNNNNCUACUAUGCUUCAGCAACUAACAUCCCUGCAUCUGAAGUAAAUUCUGCUCUUUUCACUCACAUUUUCUAUGCUUUUGCUGCUAUAAACAAUUCCACCUACCGGCUUUCCUUCCCCUUAUCUACUCAACCAACUCUCUACACUUUCACACGUAUCAUUAAACGUAAUAACCCAUCUAUCAUUCCAGUUCUGUCAAUAGGACUCGCAUAUGAAGACUAUUCUACAUUUUCUUGCAUGGUUAGCAAACCUUCUUAUAGGAAGUCUUUUAUCGAGUCUUCAAUGAAAAAUGCCAGGUUUCACGGAUUUGGUGGCCUGGACCUCUGUUGGCUUUGGCCUAACACAACAUCCGACAUGGAAAAUAUUGGAGUUCUUUUAGAUGAAUGGCGUGAAGCUAUAAAUUUUGAGUCAAGAAACAGCAAUGGUACUUCUGAGCCAAAACUUAUCCUGACAAUGGCUAUUUAUCGCCAGCCAACUAUUGCCAAUACGAGUUUCCCAGUUGAAUCCAUGCAAAGAAACUUGGAUUGGGCAAAUCUUGUAGCCUAUGAUUAUCAUUUGCCUUUAAAAGAGAAUAUUACAGGUAAUCAUGCAGCUUUAUUUGAUCCUUUAGGUCAUAUUAGUACUGAUUCUGGUAUAAAGGAAUGGUUAAGGAGAGGAUUGACAUCAGAAAAGCUGGUUUUGGGUUGGCCUUAUCAUGGCUAUGCAUGGAAAUUUGUGAACUCAAAUGACAAGUACUCCAUUGGUGCACUAGCAUCAGGACCAGAGAUUACAAUGGAUGGUUCAAUGGGCUACAAGUUGAUCAAAUCUGUAAUCCUUAAUUAUGGCUAUGGAGUCAUUUCAAGCUACAAUGCUACAUAUGUAGUUAACUACUUUAGCAACAAAUCAAUUUGGAUCAAUUUUGAUGAUGUUGAGGCUAUUCAGACUAAAAUUUUAUAUGCCAAGACAAGGGGAUUGCUUGGGUACAAUGCUUUUCAGCUCGCAAACGGUGAUAACUGGGAGCUUUCUCGAGCUGGUAUGGAAAUUGUUCAUCUAUUGUCUAAGUUCUGUUUGAUACUUUUUGUAAGAAAAGUAAUCAUAAAAACUUCAAAACAGCUAAAUAAUACUCUCCAACUACUUUUUCUAACAGCAUAAAAAAUUUUAUUUUUCUGAAGAAAUAGUUGCAAUCUCUAUGCCAGACACUCGCAUAUAUAUUUAUAUGCACUGGAAUGAGGUAUUUAAAUCAUUUCUGUAUGUUGUUUUGUGUAUCUUUCUAAUACCUGGAAUAAAUUGGCAGCUUAUGAGGUUGGUGAAGUUCAUGAAAGGAAAAAGCAUUUAUGGAUUAGAGUUUCAAUCCCAAUUGCAAUUAUUACUCUGCUGAUCCUACUUGGGUUUCUAUCAUAUUAUGUAAAAAGCAGAAAACUUGAAUCAAAAGGUAAAGAUUUUCUUAUUUUUGCCUACAUAGACUCCAUUGUUUUGCUUUCUUUGGAAAUAGGUAAAUAUCUAUGAACAUGAUUCUUGACAGCAUUUGGAUUCUCUGUGUUUUAUGUUUCAGGGAAACUGAGUUUUGGUGAUACAGCAGUUGAUGAAUAUCAGUACCAAAAUGCUCCAAAUUUGCAAAUAUUCAAGUUUUCUGAAAUCAAAGCAGCUACAGGCAACUUUUCAUGCGAAAAUAGGCUUGGAGAGGGUGGAUAUGGACCUGUUUACAAGGUGAAUUUCAACAAAUCCUUCAUUUUAUGUGCUUCUUAUAAGGUUAAUAAAACUAGUAACUAUAUAUAUGUAUAUAAAAAUGAACUUGGAAUGAAUAUAUUCAAAUUGCUAUGUAUUUGAAUCAUUGGGUGUAAGAAAAUUCCAUAUUGACUAUUUUGUUGGGCUUCGUCAGGGUAAACUUGCAAAGGGAGGGGAAAUAGCAGUGAAAAGGCUUUCAAAAACUUCACAUCAAGGAUUUAAGGAGUUCAUGAACGAAGUUAAACUUACAGCAAAGCUGCAACAUGUUAAUCUAAUAAGGCUUUUGGGAUUUUGCACUGAUAGAGGAGAAAAAAUGUUGAUAUAUGAGUACAUGCCUAACAAAAGCUUGGAUUUCUAUUUGUUUGGUAAGUGAUAUAUUAUUUAUUUCCCUAUUUGGUUCUCUCUCUAGAUUAGAAAUAAUAAAAGAAGCUUAGACUCGUAACUCUGUUUUUGAUGCAGAUCAAAACAGAAGAUUGGAAUUGAAUUUGGAACGACGCGUUCAUAUCAUUGAAGGGAUUGCUCAAGGGCUUAUGUACCUUCAAGAAUACUCAAAUUUGACAAUAAUUCAUAGAGAUAUUAAAGCUAGCAACAUUUUACUAGACAAUGAGAUGAAGCCAAAGAUUUCUGAUUUUGGUAUGGCGAGAAUUUUUCAGAAGGAGAGCAAUGAAGCCAACACAGGCCAGAUUGUUGGGACAUAGUAAGUAAAUUGCUUCUUGAAAAGCAAUGUAUUUCAUAUCAUCUAACAAAUACAUACAUACUUAUAUAUACAUAUAUAUAUGUGUGUGUGUGUGUGUGUGUGUGUGUGUGGGGUUUUAAGAUCUCAUUUAUUCAUGAAAAAUUGCAGUGGCUACGUACCUCCUGAAUAUGUGAAAAGAGGUACCUACUCCAUGAAGUAUGAUGUUUAUAGCUUUGGAGUUUUGCUUCUGCAAAUCAUAAGUGGGAAGAGAAACACAUGUUUUUAUGGUUCAAGUGAAAAUCUAAACCUUCAGGAAUAUGUAAGUCACCUUCUUUACACUUGCUUUGACAUAUUAGGCAAUUGGUGUAUUGAUCUUGUUUCGCGCAUUGCAGGCGUACGAAUUGUGGAAAGAAAAUGGCGGUGAGGAAUUUAUAGAUCCAACAUUAGAUGAUAAAUGUUCUUCCUGUAAGCUCUUGAGAUGCCUGCAAGUAGCCCUGCUAUGCGUGCAAGAAAGUCCAAUGGAUAGACCUUCAAUCUUGGAAGUUUAUUCCAUGCUGAAAAACGAAAAUGAUGCUAUUGCUCGUCCUAAAAGACCUGCAUUUUCUGUCCUGAAUUGUGAAGACGAAGAAAAUAGACACAUAUCAGGUCAAGAAAUUUGUUCAGUCAAUGAUGUGUCCAUUACCGAAAUGUUGCCCAGAUAACGUAGCUUUGCCUUUUUCAAAUGAAAUUGUAUAAACAGGCAUACAAUCGCAUUUUAGAGUAAACAAUUUCUAAUCCAUGGAUGCUAACAUUGCAAUAUAUUAAAACAUCACCUAUUAAUUGAUAUUUUAUUCCUUUUUUCAUUCUAAUUAACCCCUUCAUUUGCAUUUAGCAAACGUUAAUAUUUAAUAAACAUUGAUUUUUUAUCAUUAAAUAAUAGAAAUACAAACUAAUGAUAUCCAAUGGAAUUAAAAUUAAUAACCACUAAAUAAUGAAAUUACAGUAAUGUGAUUAACUGAUUGAAUUGAAAUAUAAUACCAAUUUAUUAAAAUUUUGCCUUAUAAUUAAAUCUUUUUAUAUUUUAUUUAAUUAUAAAAAAUUAACAAAUUAAUAAACAUUUCAAUUGAAUAUAUGAAGUUUCAAAAGUAAAAGGACAUAAUUUAAUUUAUAAAAUUUCAAAAUAUUUCAAUCUACUAAUUAAAAUUUUCAAUUUAUUACCUGAAAAUUUCAAAACGGAUGUAAUUUCACAUUUUAUCAUUUAAUUAAAAUAAAUUAUUUAAAUUAAAUCAACAACAAUUUUCUAAAAACAUUUAUCCUUCAAAUUGUUUAAAAAAUAUAUACAAUUACACAAUAUGCCAACGGAAAUUAAUAAACAUACUACCAAAAUCCGGAAUCAUGGAUUCAUUAGUUAACUACCAAAAUAAGGGCCAAAAAGAAAUCAUGAACAUUUUUCUCCAAUUAACCACUAAGAUUUUUUCAAUGAAAAAAAGGGAAAAAGAAAACAUUUGUAAAAAGAAAAUCCAGACAAAGAAACGUUUUGAGUCGAGGCUCAGAUUUUAUCGUGUCAAUCAGGAAGGUGACCAGAGCUAUGGCUGCAACAAAGAAACUAAGUGGUACUGAGAGAGUUGGAGCCAAAAUAAAUAAAUAAACAAAGGGAAAGUAAUUAUUUAGUCCAUGAGGUUCGAAGCAAACAUUGUGCAGCCAAAAACGUUAUUACCCUUUUGAGUGUCUGAUUUCGCUGAUCAGAAACAUCAUCACUGCCUCAAAAACACAAAGAUAGAUAGGAACAUUUUGGUCAUUGUACAAAUUUUCCUGUGAAACAAACAAGGCUUGAAGAGAAAGAUAAAAAGAAAAGGAGGCUCAGAUCAGAUAUCCAAAGAAUUGGACAAGAAAGAAACACCAUUAAACCAUGACUGCAAUUAAGGAAUGACAGAAAUUGAGAGAAACCUCAUUUUGCUUAUUUCCAAAGAUUGCCCCGCCAAGAUAAAUGGUUAUUUAUAUCUAAUCCUGAUUUUUGAUUACUGAUAUAUCAUCAUAGCCUCAUCAAAUAGACAUUAUGUAUAUUAUCUAUGUUGCAUGGAAACGCAGGAACGGAAACGGACAACAUAUGAGAAAUAUCCAGUUUAUAGAAAUGUAUUUUCGAGAGGGGAACAGUGCUUCCAAAUUGCCCAAUUUACAGAAAUUGCCCCGAGGAGUUUCCAAACAUUUCCGUGCAAGAUUGUAUUAUAGAUAGACAGAAUGCAGAGGAAGUUGAUUAAUUAAUUUAUUUAUUUUGUUUAAUGGCUGGUGCCAACAUAAAAAAAAAAAAGAAAUCAUCGACUUAUCUAACAAUCGGACAGGAGGAGUCAACCUCCCUGAAACCUGCCGCCUGCCUGAGAGCAAAGCCUCGUUCCCAAAUUAAUGAGAUACAAGUUUCCAAUGAACCAAACAAGGAGAGAAAGAAAGCAAGGGAUUUGGUAAAUCACAAGGCCCCAUUUGCAAAAUGAAUUUUCAAAUGAAUUUUCAUUUGCACCGAACAUGAAAGUCUAGAUUUGUAAAUGAAUUACUUAAAAUUUUGCAGAAUUCAUUUAAACCAAGAGGGACGACGGAUGGAAAUAUGCUACACUCAUACUGGUUAAGUUACUCCCACUGCCAAAAAUGACAGACAAGCACAAGUACAUCUGGGAAAUAAACUCUAACCUGCCUUUUUUGAGAGAGGUAGGCUCAGAUUCGCCUUUGGUCAGACAGAAAAGAGAACCACAUAACCAUGGCUGCAACAAAAACAGGGAAAAAUGAAAGCUCAAAGUUGCCAAGCCAAAGCUCUGUUCCUUACAACGUCUGUUUUCCACUAAAAAAAAAUCAUCACACCCUCAUAAAAAGGAAAAAUUUCAGCAAACCAAACAUAUACUUAACAGAGAUAGAGAAAUCUGAAGAAAGACAAGGCUCAGAUCAGAUAUGCCUUUGAAUCAGACAAGAAAGAAACAAUGGCAUCACUAUGGCUGCAACUCGCAAAGGCUGCCCCGCCAAGAAUGCUUAAUUUCCUCGAAUCUGAUCUUUUGGGUCACUGAAUAUAUCAUUAUUAUUAUUAUUAUUAUUAUUAUUAUUAUUAUUAUUAUUAUUAUUAUUAUUAUUAUUAUUAUGUUUUAUUUUCCUUCUUCUUUCUUUUCCUUUGGGGCUGUUAGUAAUCUAAGAAGUGAAAAAUCACAGGCUCCGCUACCGAUCAGAGAGGCGGAAGUCAACGACCCGGAAACCAUUCCAUAUCUCUCUGAGAGCAAAACCUCAUUCUCAGCUGGAAUUUCCCCUACCAAAGAGAGAAAUACCUAGCUCUUCUCAUCUUUUCAUUUCAAAUUCUCUAUUUAUGGCGAUAUCACCUUGAUUUGAUUAUUCCAUGCUUAGCCUUCCUUUGUGCUGUAUUUUGUAGAAAACUGAGGGGUAUUAUUGCCAAUCUAUUAUCAUUAUUGCGAUUGGUAAAAAGGGAAUCAAAUGGAGGUCAAUUUUGUAAUCACAAGAACCAAAGUACUCAUAUUCAUCUUUUUACGAGACCGCCACUGGCCUUGGUUAUACGCGUGUGCUUCAUGCGUGAGCGGGUGUAAUGGUUAUCGCUAUCUUGCACCAAAAAAAAAAAAAACAGAACAUCAAUUUUGCUCUCGCCAUCUCAAGAUUGUUUGUGUCUCCAUCUUGACUACAACCCUGGAUGCGCUGCAAACCGAUCACAAUGAAUAAUUAAAAUGAGCACAGAUACAAAGAAGAAUUGCUGUUUGUGGGUAUUACUGCAACUUUCUAGAUUGGGGUUGUUGGAUUCUCGAUUUUGAACAGGAUGUAAUUAUGGGUCUCGUUGAGUAACUUAUCACCUGGGAUGGUUAAUCUCUCUUGCGCUAUGCAUGUUGAUUUUCUUGCAAUUGCAUGUGCGCAGCUAUGUCAACUAGUUUCUUUCUUGUGAAAGUUCAGGAGGAAUCAUGAAUAUUCUUUGUUGGAACUGCCGAGGACUUGGUCACACUCGAGCAGUUAAUGCUCUUAAUGAUCUUAUUCGAUGCCAUAAACCAACGGUCACCUUUCUGUCUGAAACUUUAGUUGCUUUGAAUAAAAUUGAGCAGCUCCGUUGUAGACUUCAUUAUGAUUCCUGCUUUGCUGUGGAUGCUGUGGGACGCAGCGGUGGCUUAGCAAUCUUGUGGAAUUCUCAGGUUAAUUUAGAAAUUCUGCGUUAUUCUUUGCAUUUUAUUGAUAUGAAAAUUACGGAAGCUGCAGGUUUUACUUGGCGCCUCACUGGUUUUUAUGGCAUGCCGGAAAGACAUCGUAGGCAAAUUUCGUGGAAUGUCCUCCGAUCUUUAGCUAGGUUGGAAAAUCUCCCUUGGUUAAUUUGUGGCGACUUUAAUGACCUAAUGUUCGCUGAAGAAAAGAAAGGGCGUAAUCCUCAUCCUCCAUACUUACUACAGGGUUUCUCAGAUACUGUGGCUGAUUGUGGUCUGAUUGACUUGGGAAUGUCGGGGUAUCCUUUUACUUGGGCUCACGGCAGAGGUCAAAAUCGGGUAGAGGAAAGAUUGGACAGAGCUUUGGGAAAUAUUAUUUGGCAGAAUCAUUUUGCUAAUUAUCAGGUCCAGAACCUAGUCUCAAGUAAGUCUGAUCACUCNNNNNNNNNNNNNGUCUGAUGUGGAUUCUAUGGUUAGAGAGAGUUGGGCCAAUAAUGAUGGUGUUGAUGUAACGCGGAAGAUAAAGGUUUGUGGACAACGUCUACAGAGUUGGGGUAGGAGACUAAAGCUUCGGUUUAGGAAGGAUGCAAAGCAAUUGACAGUGCAACUUGAGAAUCUUCGGAUCAACGGUAAUAUUGAACAAUUUGAAGGUGUGCAGCGUAAGCUUGAUGAUGUUCUGUACCGUGAAGAGAUCUUCUGGUCCCAAAGAGCGAAAUCUCAUUGGCUGCAAUCAGGGGAUAUGAACUCUCGGUACUUCCAUGCCACUGCUAAAAAACGGAAGAAAUCAAAGCAGAUAUUUCGGUUGAAGGAUGCUAAUGGCGAGUGGAUAAGCGAUAGCACUAUGUUGACAGGUAUGGUGAGUGACUACUUUGUUAAUCUAUUUAAGGCAGGGAAUGCUGACUUAAGUCCUGUUGUGGGUUUAUUCUCUCCUCUGGUUUCGGAUAAUGAAAACUUUAUGCUUCUUAGAGAUAUUUCUGUGGACGAGGUUAAAUUGGUAGUGAAACAGAUGCACGCGGAUAAAAGCCCCGGAAUAGAUGGUCUAAAUCCUAGAUUCUAUCAGAGAUUCUGGGAUAUUGUGGGUCAUGAUGUUGUUCAGGGUUGUCGAGACUGGUUUAAUUCAGGUGUCUUUCCGGAUAAUCUCAACGAUACCUUAAUUGUGCUAAUUCCAAAAAUAGAAGACCCAGAGGCAGUGAAGGACUUUCGACCUAUUUCUCUUUGCAACGUAGUUUACAAAGUGUUUGCUAAGAUUCUGGCAAACAGGUUGAAGACCAUCCUACCUAAUCUUAUCUCACCAUCUCAGUCAACUUUUGUCCCGGGCCGGUUGAUUUCAGAUAAUGUGUUAGUUGCUUUUGAGCUAAUCCACUCUAUGAAAACACGAAUGACCGGUCAGCGAGGAGCUUCCACACUGAAAGUUGAUAUCUCUAAAGCCUAUGACAGAGUAAACUGGUGCUAUCUACGAGCUGUUAUGCAGGGUUUGGGUUUUCACGAGCGUUGGGUGGACUUGAUCAUGACGUGUGUCUCCUCUGUUAAAUACUGGGUUGGAGUGAACGGGGAUGAGAUUGGCCCGAUUAUUCCAGAACGUGGGUUGAGACAAGGUUGUCCAUUAUCUCCCUACUUAUUUAUACUCUGUGCUGAAGGACUGUCAAAGCUGUUUAGUAAGUCUGAAAAUGAAGGUCGCCUCACCGGCUGUAGAGUCUCGAGAGCUGCGCCCCGGUUAUCUCACUUGUUGUUUGCAGAUGAUAGUUUGUUCUUUUUCGAGGCAUCACGAAUUCAAGCUCUAGAGAUAAAAAAUAUCCUAGUUACUUAUGAAGCAGCUUCGGGUCAAGAGGUAAAUUGGCAAAAAUCCGGCAUUUUUUUCAGCUCUAACACUUCGGCAGUGGAUAAGGAUGCCGUGACAGGAGUUUUUGGUGUACUUGCUCCUUUGAACCACGGAAGGUACCUGGGCUUGCCCUCGUUAGUUGGUCGGGAAAAGAGGCGUAUCUUUUCUUUUUUGAAGNNNNNNNNNNNNNNNNNNNNNNNNNNNNNNNNNNNNNNNNNNNNNNNNNNNNNNNNNNNNNNNNNNNNNNNNNNNNNNNNNNNNNNNNNNNNNNNNNNNNNNNNNNNNNNNNNNNNNNNNNNNNNNNNNNNNNNNNNNNNNNNNNNNNNNNNNNNNNNNNNNNNNNNNNNNNNNNNNNNNNNNNNNNNNNNNNNNNNNNNNNNNNNNNNNNNNNNNNNNNNNNNNNNNNNNNNNNNNNNNNNNNNNNNNNNNNNNNNNNNNNNNNNNNNNNNNNNNNNNNNNNNNNNNNNNNNNNNNNNNNNNNNNNNNNNNNNNNNNNNNNNNNNNNNNNNNNNNNNNNNNNNNNNNNNNNNNNNNNNNNNNNNNNNNNNNNNNNNNNNNNNNNNNNNNNNNNNNNNNNNNNNNNNNNNNNNNNNNNNNNNNNNNNNNNNNNNNNNNNNNNNNNNNNNNNNNNNNNNNNNNNNNNNNNNNNNNNNNNNNNNNNNNNNNNNNNNNNNNNNNNNNNNNNNNNNNNNNNNNNNNNNNNNNNNNNNNNNNNNNNNNNNNNNNNNNNNNNNNNNNNNNNNNNNNNNNNNNNNNNNNNNNNNNNNNNNNNNNNNNNNNNNNNNNNNNNNNNNNNNNNNNNNNNNNNNNNNNNNNNNNNNNNNNNNNNNNNNNNNNNNNNNNNNNNNNNNNNNNNNNNNNNNNNNNNNNNNNNNNNNNNNNNNNNNNNNNNNNNNNNNNNNNNNNNNNNNNNNNNNNNNNNNNNNNNNNNNNNNNNNNNNNNNNNNNNNNNNNNNNNNNNNNNNNNNNNNNNNNNNNNNNNNNNNNNAAGAGAGUUUUAUCAUGUGUCUGUGGAGUGUUUGGCUGAGCCGUAAUGAACUAAAAUGGAACCAAGUGGAAGAAGGACCUUAUCAUGUGGUUACUCGAGCUAGAAGAAUAUUGGCAUCUUGGAAGAAAGCCCAGCUGAAGCUGUCAGGUUCGGAUACCGGCAUAGGUACCUCUGGAGGUAGUCAAUGGUUCCCGCCACCUACUGGUACUUUUAAAAUAAACUUUGAUGCCGCUCUUCUCCCCUCUGUCGGCCAUGGAGCUGUUGGUGCUGUAAUCUCAAACUGCCAUGGCGGGUUCGUUUCAGCAGCAACGUCAUCACUACAAGGCUGUUCUUCUCCAGCAGUAGCAGAAGCUCAGGCACUAAGAAAAGUAUUAUCAUGGGUGCUUUCCGGUCAUCCUAAUCUGACGAUUCAGGUUGAGACUGACUGUCUGCAAGUUUAUCAUGCUAUGAAAAGUUCUGCAAACGACUGGUCUGAGUUUGGCGUUGUCAUUUCUGAAUGUAAACUACUAUUAGUCCAAUUGCCUAGUGUCUCCUUGGCUUGGAUUAGAAGACAAGCAAAUGAUAUAGCUCAUGUGUUGGCUAAAUCAGUUCCUAGUGAGGCUUGCUUUCAAAUUUGGGAUGAUGCUCCCAAUUGUAUCGCUCAUUUCUUUCAUUAAUAAUAUGAAUCAUAAUUCAAAUGUCAAAAAAAAAAACAAUGCUCCUCUUUACACUUCUUUGAGGAUAAAUAUUAAAUUUAAUCCUUAACAUUUAAUUAAUUUAAAAAAUUCUAUAAAUUUAGUCACUUUUAUUAAAAAAUUAACAAUUUUUCCUGUCAAAAAACAAAAAAAUUAAAAAUUUUCUUUUCUUUUAUUAAAAAUAUUAAAUGUUAAAAUAGACAAAAAAAACUCAAAUAUAAAAUAGGAAUAAAUAGCUUUAUUUUUUCUUUUCAAACAAAUUUCAACAAAAAAAAAAAAAAAGAAUUUUCAAUUAAAUAUUCUAUUAGUUUGAACUUAAAUUAUUAGAUCAGCUCAAGUCUGAUUAUUUUAAGUUUGAUAUCCAAUCAAGAAAUAAAAAAAUUAAUCAGUCCAAAUUGUCAAUUUCCCAUUCUGUUAAAGCUCAUACAGUUCACACGCAGUCCCAUUGCGGUCACUCGCCGCCGUUUGGUUCGAAGUCAUGGCCUUUUCCGGUUGCCUAUCACCGGCAGUUAUGAUCAUUGACUCUAAAAAAAAAAAAAAUUGAAAGUUCCAAAUGAGCUGAAUUAAAAAAGAACUGAUCGAGAAAAAAGCAAAAAGCUGAAACGAGAGGGAGAUAAUUAAGGAGGAGGCUCAGAUCCGGAUACUAUAUGAUCAGGCAAGAGAAAGGUGAAGCACUACCGCCAUGGCUGCGACAACCGGUUGCCAGCGAAAAUGGUCGUUUUCAUCGGCCAUCCGGGUCGCCCCGCCGAUAAGAAGCGGGUACUUUCGCCAUUUGUUGCCUAAUUGGACACUCUGGAAAAGAACGUAUCAUCACAGCCUUAUAUGUAUGUGUCUGCAUCAGAAAGGGAAUGAUAAAGAAAAAGAAAAGAAGAGAACACUUUGUAUGGAGAGAGAGAGAGAUUGGACCGAUGAAAUCAUCGGCCCCGAUAAGAGCCUCAUUCGUUUUCCAGUCAGUGUCAAAACCCUAGGUUGGUCUCUGCUCUUUGUUUAGAGGGGGCUUGGUUUUCCAAUCUUCCGUUUUUGCCCUCUGGUGGUUGGCUUUGGGCUUCUGGCUUUUUAGUCGUUAAUGGAUAUUGGAUAUGGAAGGAAUCUUUUGAGUAAUUUUCGUACGAUUAAGUGCACGUCUCAGUUAAACUUAAUUGCAAUAUAUUAAUGAGAGGGUUUAAUUAAGUAUUAAGUCUUUGAACUUUUAUUUCUAUUAAAAUUAAGUCUUUAUUUUAUUUCUGCAACCAUGACAGUCAGUGGCCCGAACUAAAAAAAAUAAUUAGAGAGAGCAAAAAGAAAAUUUCAAAAUUGAGAGGUACGGUAUCAAAAGAAAUCAUUAUUUUAUAAAUAAAAAGUAAAAUUUUCUAUAUUUUAAAAGGUAAAUUUCAAAAAGAAAAAUUUAAAAUAAGGGGACAGCCGGCGGUAGCUCCACCACUGAUGACAUUGAAUAAAGUUCAAGGUUGACACUAAGUAUGGAUGUGCAAGAAAAUUGCUAUAACAGUUUAUAGCUCAGCAAAAUCGAAGCAUUGAAGGUGGUGAAAGUGGAGCAUGUGCGGUGGUUUGGAGUAUGAGAAGCAGUGAAAACUAAAAGGUAUAAGAAAUUGAAAUUGUGAAAGUUUAUUUUUCCCAAGUCCUAUUUUUAAUAUUUUAAUAACAGGCCUGAGUUAAUCGGGUCUGUGCGAAUUGAUCGGUUUAACAAUGGAUUAGCAGAAUUCAGUUCUUUCUUAUAUGGUUCAAAAGUAGACUCUGGUUUAUAAGGAAAAAAUUUGAAAUCAACGACAAAGUAGAAAUUCGAAAACAAUAAAUUUAUAAGGAAAAAAUUCCACAAAUGCAAAAAUAAACAAAAUCCUCUGGAAAUGGAAAAAAUUAUCAACUCCAUGAGCAAUUACACGCUUAUCUCUAUAUAUAUUCCAAUGCGUAAUCUUAACACCAUUAAUUGAAAAAUUAUCUAGAUCAUCAUAGUCAAAAUUAAUUUUAUGAACUAGAUUGGCUAGAAAGUAGAAAUUCGAAAACAAUAAAUUUAUAAGGAAAAAAUUCCACAAAUGCAAAAAUAAACAAAAUCCUCUGGAAAUGGAAAAAAUUAUCAACUCCAUGAGCAAUUACACGCUUAUCUCUAUAUAUAUUCCAAUGCGUAAUCUUAACACCAUUAAUUGAAAAAUUAUCUAGAUCAUCAUAGUCAAAAUUAAUUUUAUGAACUAGAUUGCAAAUAUUCGAUUCAACAGAUUCUUUGAAAGUGAAUCCUGAAUUAAAAACCUGUUGAUCAACUUUUGCAAGAACAAUUUGAUGGGCGAGAUCAAUCUGGUCCUGCAAAUCAAGAAUAGCUUCAUUUCGAGCAGCAAAGAAGGUGAUAGAAACGUUUUUUCUUACGCUAUGGCUGAGAGGGUCGCGACGAGCUCUGCGCUGGGUGUAGCAUUGGGUUAUUAAAUUGAAACCUGAAGCUUCAAGUGCUUUUGCCAUUAAAAGGUUGAGUGAAUCAUUUUCUUUUCCACCGUACAAUUUUAGGGAAAGUAUAUUUUACAUCAGUUAAGGCUCCAGUUUUGAGGAAAAAGUCGGUUACAGUUCUAGGAUUACGUUGCUGUGAUGCUUAAGAUGAGGAGGAGGAAGAAGAGAAGAAUGGAUUGGAUUGAAGCCAUUAAAAGAGAAACUGAAGAAGAAGAAGAAUAUAAACAAACUGAAUUGGCCACAUAAACAAACAGAGAAAUGGAGACAUUUGUUAAGUUAUUGACUGAAAAUCUUAAAACUUUUUCUUAGAAAAAAAAUCGAAAAUAAAAGGAAAUUAAAAAAUACAAGCACAAACGCGUAGCAGUUAACAAAUUUAUUUCCACUAAUUCUUUUGGAAUGGUAAAAAGAUGUAAAAUCUCUAAGGUCUCAAUUUGAGUGCAACUAUUUUUAUUCAUUCUAAUAAAACUUACUGUAACUUAUCAUCUGAAACUUUCUGUUAUGGACAUUGGCGCCCAGAGUGUCAUCCGCAUAGUGAAUUCUUUGACUGUACUUUUAACAAGGUUAUAUUAUAGGAGGUAAUGCUGUUACGGGAAUUAAAAUCUUCGAAAAAUUAACCCAAAGCGAUAAUUACUAAAUUAAUUCAUCACCAGUGGUAACCAUCUCCUUACUAUGAUCCCCACAUGCUAGUAUGGAUGAUCAAGCUACACAAGAUAUUCAUAGUUUAAAAGUUUGUUUAUUUCAUAGUUGAAGGUUAAAUGAGAGGUAAUGUUGUUAUGGGAAUUAAAACCUCCGAACAAUUUAUCUUUAAUAAACCAACAAAUUUGGGCGGAUAUGGAGUUAGAGGCCUACAGGUUAUAAAUGAUGCAGGAUUUGGAUGUGUUAAUCUCCAUUUUAAAAUUUUGUAUCCGGUCUAUUUGAAUUUGCUUCUUCUAAGUGGUGAUGAAAGCUGCGUCAAUGAAAACAUAACUCUAAUUCCUCAAUUCGGUAAUCAAUUCUUUUAUUGUAUUGGUAACAUGAUAAAUCCUCAUUACGGAUACAACGGAACAAUGUACUGGCACUACUAUAUGUAGUUCCAGUACAUUGCAUUCGUAUUGAGGAUCUAUCAUGUUACUAAUACAAUAAGAGAAUUGGUAACUAAAUGGAGGAAUUAAAGCUUAUGUCCUCAUAGCAGCACUAAUCAUCACUUGGAGGGAGAAGUCCAAAUACACUAAGUACAAAAACUUGGAGGGGAGGAUCAACCUUUUCAACACAUGCAAAUCCUACACCAUUUACAACCUACAGGUUUUUGAAUCCAUUUCUGCCCCAGUCUACUUGCGUUACUAAAGAUAAAUUUUUAGGAGGGUUUAAUUCCCAUAACAUCAUUAUAUCUCAUAUAACCUUGAACUAUGAAAAAAAAAAAAAAAAAAUGAGCUUUUGAACUAUGAACAUCUCGUGCAACUUGAUUGCUCGUACUAGCAUUUAGAUUGUAGUAAAGAGAUGAUAACAAAUGAUGAGAAUUAAUUUAGUAAUUAUGGAUUUGUGUUAAUUUGGUAAUGUCAGUGGUAAAAGUAAAUGUAAAAUUAAUGGUUAAUGUGAUGAAAACAAUCACUCAAAGAGAGAAAAUAAGUGUUAAGAAGAGCUUGACUAAAUUUCAUGUGAUUUAUGUAUAUAAUUGGACAUGUAAUGCUCUAUGUGAUCACAUUACAUGGAUGAAUUGUGCAGUUUAAAAAGCAAAACACUCACACUUUUGAGCAACCAAUUCUGAAUAUGCACAUUUCAAAUGCAAUACCUAAUUCAACUAAAAAAGGACAUUAUUAUUCGUAUGAUCAAAUUAGAAUAUUAUUGGUCAAUAUAAAUUAAUUGGUUACUUCAACAUUAACCUAAUUAAUUAAUUAAAAAAAAAUUUACGUGCUAUUCUUAUCAUCAUGUCAUUCAAUAACUUGUAAGAAAAAAAAUUCCAUAAAAAUGCAAAAAUAGACAAAAUAUUAUUAGAUUAUCAUGAAAAUCAAUUCUCUAGAAAUGAAAAAAAAGUUGUCAACUCCAUGAAUAAUUAUAUGAUCAUUUCUAUAUAUAUUACAAUCCGUAAUCUUAACACCAUUGAUUGAGUAAUUAUUUAAAUCAUGAUCGUCAAACUUAAGUUUAUUCACUCCAUUGCAAGGAACAAUUCAACAUAUCCACCAAAAAGAAUACCCAGAAUGGAAAACUUCUCGAUCAAUUUUAGCAUAAACAGUUUGAUAGGUAAGGUCAAUCUGGUCUUUAAAAUCAACAAUAGCUUCAUUUCGAGGAGCGAAAAUGGUGAUAGUAAGGUUGUCUGCACCAAGGCCGAGAUACUUAUGGUGAUCUCUUUGCUGAGUGCAGCAUUGAAUUAAAGGAUCUCUGGAUCAUUUUCGAUUGUUUUAAGUAUACGGGGGAGUCUGGGUUUAAACUGAGUUGGGACUCUAUAGAGAUAUGUUGGUGUGGAGCUUAAUAUGAGGAGAAAGAGAAGAAUGUAUUGAAUACAAGUCAUGCAGCUGAAUAAUAAUAAUAAUAAUAAUAAUAUUAUUAUUAUUAUUAUAUGUUUAUUUUGUUUACUGGGUUUUAUAAUUCUCAGACUCAUGGAAUUAGGAUUUGUGAUCAAAGACUCCCUAUUCGAUAUUCUAAAGGAUAUGCUGACGUUCAAUUGUCAAUUUAUAGAUAAUUUUAAAACUUUUUUUUUCCUUUUCAAAUAUAUAAUUGAUUUUCAGAAAUUUGUAUUAGUGGGAAUAAAACCCAUAAACUCAAGUGUACAUAAUUUGUUCACAGAAAUAAGUAAUGAUAACUAGUUAACAAGAAUCACAAUAAUGCAAUGAGAUUAAAACGAACAUGCAUUUUUUUUUUUUUUUUCUGUCAGUGGUAAGAGUUAUUUUUUAAAAUUCUUCAACUUAGGAUUUUAUUUUAUUUUUUUCCAUUCUAUAUUUCAGGAAUCAAAAACAUUGUUAGUAAUUCUCAAUAAAUACCUCAAUAGAUGAAUCCCGCGCGUAUAUGAACAUCAAACUAGCUAAAGAACAUCAAAAUGUUGUUUCUUUUCCAAAUAGUAUCUAAAAUGGUGUUUUUUUUCAUAAUGCUAAGUAGAUUCUAACCAAAGGAUAGCAUUUUCCAUUGGUGGAAGUGCAAGGGCCAUGGAGAAUUCACAAGAGAAAUUUCUUGCAGUAAACUGACAGCUAAUUCAAGACAGGCUAAGAUAAUAAGAUCAUUCCAUUAUGAUGCUAUGUUGCCACAUUUGAAUAAUAUAUGCUCUUCUUCUAUUGAGGUUAUAUCUCCAUUGACAGAAACCCAAGUUUCUGCAAUUUUGUCCACUGUCCCUUCAAGAAUCUCAACCAAAGUAAAUCCUCGCCAUGUCCCUCUAGAGUCCGUUGAGCUUCUGUCGUCACCGCUGAUUCUUUUAACUCUGGGAACAAUAGCCCCAUUCAGGUAUAUAGUCUUGUCACUGCCAACCACAAGCAUUUUUCGUAGACCAUUUCCAUAUGCCAGCUCUUUAUGCAUAUGGCCGAACACAAUCAGAGGGAUAUUCAAACUGGUCUUCUCCUUUAAGUGGGAAAUUGCUUGAGCUAGAUCUGUACCAGAGGAUGAGGAUGUUCUUGUAAAUAUAAUGGGGUGAACAUUUAUUCUAUAUUAUAGACAAAUACAUUGCAUCUUAUAACACAUUUUUGGUUUUGUUCCCUAUGCAUAUCUAAUGACUUCAUGCUCCUUUUAAGUUGCUAAUCAUUUAAGGCUAAACUAAUUAUACAUAACAAUCACAUCAAUGCCCAGAAUGAAUUGUAUUGCAUGGUGCACUAAUUUAGUGAAUUAACAAAGCUGAGACACCUAUAAAAGCACAUGAAUUCAAAAAAGUUACCUGGAUCACCAUAAUCACCGCCGCCAAACACCCAAUCUUUUCCACAAAUGUCGUUCAAAUUAGAACCAAGACCUGAAAAAAGGCAAUUAAGGCCAAAAAUAGAUAUCAAUAAAAGCUAACAUUUUGUCGUGAAUUUUGGCCAGCUGAUCACCUGUGGGCCCAUUAUGUGCGAGCAAUAUAAGUAGAUGGUCUUCUGGAGUGCCCAAAGCGGUAUGAUAGAUUCUCAUGGCACUUCCAUCCAUGUCCUGGACUCCAUAUCUGAGAGAGUAUUCCAAUUUUAGAAAGUUGCAGAAUGAGCAAUAAAAUCAAGCAACAGACUACAUGGAAAAGAAAUUAAAGAAAAAAAGAUUCAAUAUUAGCUAAUCCAUUCAUUCAUUUGAAAUCUAACUCGGGUCUAGUGAAGUCACACGAAUUUGAAUUGCAAAGAAACAUGAUUAAAUUUUGUGAUUUUAAUAUCAAGGCAAAUACUAAGCAAGAUAUAGGAGAGCAAGUCACUGCUGAAUUUGUUUCUUUGAAAAAUAAGAAAGAAAACAUGAAGAACUGUGACAUUUAAAGAUUAAAAUGCCAUAAACCUUCAUUCUUUUCGGGUUUUAUAAGUAGACAUGAAAAGUCCACAAUAAUGAAUGGAAAGAAAACAAAGAAUAAUCGAAUUUUGGAAUUUACUUCAACCAAUACAAACCUUGCAGACAGAAGUUUAUUCCGAAAUAGCUGCUCACCACCACAUGAAAAUGGCCGUCCACCAACAACACUAAGUUUAAGCUCAGGGAAAUCCAAACGUUUGUAACCUACAUGUUCUUUGCCAAGACUGACCAUUUCCAAAAAGGUAUUUCAUUCAACAAAUAAAUUACUUCAGAGUAGAGUCCCAGCAUGAUGUGCAAUGUGCUGGAGGAGAUGUAUUGAAACAGUUCUAUAUCUUUCUAUCACUAUAUUAUAUAUUGCAUGCACGCAAUUUGUAAUGAAAGUGAUAUUGAAGGCCAUAUAUAAAUGACUCAAAUACGAGUAGAUGCAUAUAUGCAAUAUCCUCUCAUUAUUUGAGAUAUUUUUUUUAUUUAAUUUUUCAUAGAAGAAAGGAAUAGAUGAAUUAUUUGAAAUAUACAUGACUUACACUCUGUAUGGAAAAAAUAUCCAGUCCAAAGGAAUAAUAACAGUUCACAGAUAUUAUAAAACCUUUCCAAGUCAAUUUACCGUUCCCCCUUUCUUCUCUCUCUACCCUUCCUUCUACAUAGCCAGUUUCAUAUUCAAUACCAACUGUCUAAGUAGGAAGCGGAUAACAAUACUCCAAUAACACCAAAGAAAUGAAUGAAACAGUAAUCCUACAUGAUUCUUAAUGCUGACAUGUCAAGCAAUAUAAAGAAAGAGAUACUAUAAGCAUAAAGAUAAGAGCAAAAUUGGAAUAUUUUUAGAUGUAAACAUCUACUUCAUGCUAAUGAAGCUAUAAAAAGCAGCAUAUAGAACAUUUGCGUUGCUCAGGGACAAGAUAAGCUCACCAAUCCAGCUGAAGUUGAACACCAUCCUUUGUCCUAAUAUUCAAAUAAAAAUAAUAAUAAUGUAGAAUGAAUUAACUUUAUGUCAGGAAUAUGAAAACAUACUCCUAUGGCCUAUUUUACAAAACUCAGAGAAUAAGGCUAGCUAUCUGCAAUAUAUCACAUAAACACAAGUACAAACAAGAAAUAUACUCUUAUAAAAAAUUUCAAACAACUUGGGAACUUCCUUUGUUUUUCUUUCUUUCUUUAUUCAGAUUACCCGAUUAACAUUGCAUAAAAGAACUGAAACGGCUGUUUAUAUUAUUAACAUCGCACAUAAGAACUGAAACAACUGUUUAUUAUAUUUAACAGUACCAGUCCCCAUAAAUUUAAAAAAGAAAAUUGCCCAAAGCAUAGAACAAACAACUCAUUUUAAUACAUAGAACCAAUGAAUUAGAUGCAAUUAUAAAGUGGGCUGCAGCAAUACACACUUACUUUUGAGAGAACUUCUGAGUAUACCAGGAAUCAUGAUUUCCCAAAAUAACUGCUUUAGGAAAUUUAAGAUCUGCAACACUUUGGACGAGCUCUACAUUCUCAUUACCAAAAUCACCUAAACAAGGCCCAAGGAGAGGGGAGGACAAGAAAACAAGAAAAAAAGGCCAACAAGCCUAAUAGGUUAGAUUUAACAUUUUACUAGUAAUGUUGCAAACGCAUACUCAGAAUGACUGGUCAUGGUACAUAUUAGGCUGAUUUUCAUAAGUCUAAUGAACAUGUAUAUAGUGCAUCUGCAUGCACUAUGUGUCAAUAUGAACUGAAAAUUGUUGGUGUCCCACAUGGAACCAGAUCCCUUUUAAAUAUUUCCUUGAUAUUUGGCUUGUCAGUGAAGACAGUCAAAAAGGGUUGUGAAGGCACCGUGUAUGAAUUAAAUGAGGACCAGCCAAAGACACCGUACAGGUAAAAGGUGAUUGAGAAGAAAACCUGCCUGUAAACAGCACCAAAUCCAGCUGCAUAAUGCAACAUAUAUUAGGUAGGUAGAGGAUAGCUAUGCACAAAAAUAAUAGGAAAUGCUCACGGAAAAUCUAAAAGAAAAUUGAGAGAAAAAAAAUGGCUGCUUAAAGGCAACAACACCAAGCUAUAAAGAGUUUGUUGACCCACAACAACUUAAUCUUACAUGGAAUUUUUACUAAAAUCAAUUUUUAGAAUUGUGAAAUGAAUCUCAAGAUGGACUCCCAAAGUUAGCUAAACUCAAAUAGGCACUACAAAAAGCUUGAAUAGUCCAUGGCCCAAAUAAGCACAUAGCAACCUCAACUUAAACUCAAUGUCAGUCCUGCUUAUUUACAUCCUUAAUGCAGGAUUGUUCACCUGUGUUACAUUUUACCUACACCAAUAUUUUUAAAUAUGAUAUGUAUGCAUAUGUGAGUGUCUUUAGUUCCAGCAGAAACUAUCCUUCAAUGCAGAAAAAGAGAAAUACAAGAAAAGGGACACUAUGAUGAGCAUCAACUUAAUUAAGGGUGUCUUUUGCAUGCCAAAGUUUAGUGGUUUUAACUGAUACAGACAACCCAAUAUAAUGUCGGCAUAACCACCUGUGUCUCUUGAUUGCAAUUGGGAGAAGCAAUGGUUGGCACCAGCAUCAAGUUCAUAGAAACCCUACAUUGAAAUUCUGUACUUUCAAUGUGGGAUCCAAGUCCCAUAAAUUAUAAUUGGGAUAAUAACAUCCAAUCUUUUUCUUCUCUUGGAUCCAUGGAUCAGGCCCACCAAAGUACGGCCAUCCAUUACCGUCUUUGUCUAUUUCUCAUGACUCCCAAAUUCAUGUUCAACGAUGCCAUCUAAAUUCACUUUCCAUAGAUAUAUUGCAUUUUGGCCCAUUAAUGAACCCAAAAACUCUGCAAAACCUCUACAGAACACCUAAAAUGAAUUGUGACAGAUGACUCCUAUUUUCACAUUACAAAUCCCAAAAUCAGUGCAGAUGUUUUCUCCUCAAUUACAAGGAAAAUUACUUUUUAGUUAUGAACACGAAUAUAUAGAAUUAUAGAGUAAUAAACGCCCAUCCCCCCGACAGACAGACAGACAGACAGACACACACACACACACACACACACAAAAGCGAAGAGAAGUACCUGCAGAAGUUGAAGAGCCUUUGUAUCCUCUUCUAGAUUCCAAUCAUCAUGCUUCAAAAAAACCCCAGAAUUUUCAAAAAAAGAAACAUAAUUUGCUGAAUAAAAAUUUUCCAAAAAUGAAAUGAUUCCACAAUUAAAACUUAUAUUAAUCAAUUGCUAACCACACCAACAAAACCAAAGAUAGGGUUUCCAAGUUGAAAACGGAACACAUGCUUCGAAGAGCAAAUAAAUGCGAGAGAGAGAAACUCACUACGUCUCCGACGACAGCUACUCGAGCCGACGCCGACAUUGAAGAGCAAUGGGUGGUUCUCUUAGAGGAAAGGAAGGGGCGAGUAUGAAAAAAGCACGGAGUGGGCGCGUGAAGAAACGCGCUCAAGUUUGCCAUAACAUAACCUUCGCUUCCAAUUUGGCGCGCUAUUUUUACUGGCAAAUAAAGGAGUAGGUGGAACUUUAAGCCGUUAAACUAACACUAUUGCUGUCCACGUCACUGCCGUUCCGUGUAAAAUACUGUCAAAUGUCAUUCUCAAGCUAUGACUCAUUUUUCAAAAUUAAAUGGCAAAAAAAUAACAUGGUCAAAGAAAAAAAAAAAAGAUCAACCAAGAUGGAUUUGAGCAUGUGAUAUCAAAGCAUUUUUCAGCAUCCUUAUUGUUUCCUAAGUCAAAUUUUCAUCUUCUGUUAUUGUAACACGUCAAAAUGUCAAUAUGAAGCUCAAAUAUCUCAACCCAAAUUUCUCUAAGCUACAUCCAAGAUUUUCCGAAGGUGACAUCUUUUACUACAAAAUAAAUUGUUGACUAUAAAAUAAAUUGACUGUAAAAUUUUCGUUGUUUCAUCUUUAUCGGUCUUAAUCAAUACAUUGUUCACUCUAAAUAUAUAAAAAUAUAAAGAUGCACAUAUACACUCGUAGAGACAAUAUAAUAAAAUAUAAGAUUCUUAGAGCCAGUUAACUUUUAUAUAUAUAAUAUUUAUUUUAUAUUUUUAAAAGGAUAUUUUUUAUAUUUUUCAACUAUAUCUAAUUUGAUAUAUCUAAUUUUUACAUUUUACAUUAUUUUUACAUUGUUUGAUAUAUAAUUUUUCUAAGUUGAAAGAUUACGAAAUUAUAUCUAAAAUAUAUCUGUCAAAUAUCUGCCCUAUCCAAUUCUCUCAUUUAAAUAUUUUACAAAGAAACAAAAAAAAGAAACAGUUACGUGUCAGAAGACUUGAGCUAUCAUCAAAGUCAAAACAUAAAUAGGAAAUCAAGAACUUUUCUUCAACAAGAACCUAACAAGAACCUAAAUUCUCAGGCACAAAUUAACAGCUAAUAAGCAUAAGCUCUUUCUUUCUUCUUUCAUGGCUAUCAAAACCACCGUUGCCCUCCUAAUAUUUCUAAUCACUCUCAAUUUUCAUUUCUUGGAGGCAAAAGAUUGGAUCAAAGCAGCAUACUAUGAUUCAUCAAGUAACCUCCCUGCAUCUGAAGUAAAUUCUGCUCUUUUCACUCACAUUUUCUAUGCUUUUGUUGCUAUAAACACUUCCACUUACCAGCUUUCGUUCCCCUUCUCUACUGAAUCAUCUCUCUCAACUUUCACAGUUAACAUUAAACGAAACAACCCAUCUGUCAUUCCAGUUCUGUCAAUAGGACUCGGAUAUGGAGACUAUUCUCCAUUUUCUUCCAUGGUUAGCAAACCUUCUUAUAGGAAGUCUUUUAUCAAGUCUUCAAUGAAAAAAGCCAGGUUUUACGGAUUUGGUGGCCUGGACCUCUGUUGGGUAUGGCCUAACACAACAUCUGACAUGGAAAAUAUUGGAGUUCUUUUAGAUGAAUGGCGUGAAGCUAUAAAUUUUGAGUCAAGAAACAGCACUGUUACUUCUGAGCCAAAACUUAUCCUGACAAUGGCUAUUUAUCGCCAGCCAACUAUUGCCGAUACGAGUUUCCCAGUUGAAUCCAUGCAAAGAAACUUGGAUUGGGCAAAUCUUAUAGCAUAUGAUUAUCAUUUGCCUUUAAAAGAGAAUAUUACAGGUAAUCAUGCAGCUUUAUUUGAUCCUUUAGGUCAUAUUAGUACUGAUUCUGGUAUAAAGUAAUGAUUAAGGAGAGGAUUGACAUCAGAAAAGCUGGUUUUGGGUUUGCCUUAUCAUGGCUAUGCAUGGAAAUUAGUGAACUCAAAUGACAAGUACUCCAUUGGUGCACUAGCAUCAGGACCAGCGCUUACAAUGGAUGGUUCAAUAGGCUACAAGUUGAUCUUAAUUAUGGCUAUGGAGCCAUUUCAAGCUACAAUGCUACAUAUGUAGUUAACUACUUUAGCAUCAAAUCAAUUUGGAUCAAUUUUGAUGAUGUUGAGGUUAUUCAGACUAAAAUUUUAUAUGCUAAGACAAAGGGAUUGCUUGGGUACAAUGCUUUUCAGCUUGGAAACGAUGAUGAUAACUGGGAGCUUUCUCGAGCUGGUAUGGAAAUUGUUCAUCUAUUACCUAAGUUCUGUUUGAUACUUUUUGUUGAGAAAAGUAAUCAUAAAAGCUUGAAAGCAGCUAAAUAAUACUCUCCAACUACUUUUUCUAACAGCAUAAAAAAUUUUAUUUUUCUGAAGAAAUAGUUGCAAUCUCUAUGCCAGACACUCGUAUAUAUAUAUUUAUAUGCACUGGAAUGAGGUAUUUAAAUCAUUUCUGUAAGUUGUUUUGUGUAUCUUUCUAAUACCUGGAAUAAAUUGGCAGCUUAUGAGGUUGGUGAAGUUCAUGAAAGGAAAAAGCAUUUAUGGAUUAGAGUUUCAAUCCCAAUUGCAAUGAUUACUCUGCUGAUCCUACUUGGGUUUCUAUCAUAUUAUAUAAAAAGCAGAAAACUUGAAUCAAAAGGUAAAGAUUUUCUUAUUUUUGCCUACUUAGACUCCAUUGUUUUGCUUUCUUUAGAAAUAGGUAAAUAUCUAUGAACAUGAUUCUUGACAGCAUUUGGAUUCUCUCUGUGUUUUAUGUUUCAGGGAAACUGAGUUUUGGUGAUACAGCAGUUGAUGAAUAUCAGUACCAAAAUGCUCCAAAUUUGCAAAUAUUCAAGUUUUCUGAAAUCAAAGCAGCUACAGGCAACUUUUCAUGCGAAAAUAGGCUUGGAGAGGCGCUUACAAUGGAUGGUUCAAUAGGCUACAAGUUGAUCUUAAUUAUGGCUAUGGAGCCAUUUCAAGCUACAAUGCUACAUAUGUAGUUAACUACUUUAGCAUCAAAUCAAUUUGGAUCAAUUUUGAUGAUGUUGAGGUUAUUCAGACUAAAAUUUUAUAUGCUAAGACAAAGGGAUUGCUUGGGUACAAUGCUUUUCAGCUUGGAAACGAUGAUGAUAACUGGGAGCUUUCUCGAGCUGGUAUGGAAAUUGUUCAUCUAUUACCUAAGUUCUGUUUGAUACUUUUUGUUGAGAAAAGUAAUCAUAAAAGCUUGAAAGCAGCUAAAUAAUACUCUCCAACUACUUUUUCUAACAGCAUAAAAAAUUUUAUUUUUCUGAAGAAAUAGUUGCAAUCUCUAUGCCAGACACUCGUAUAUAUAUAUUUAUAUGCACUGGAAUGAGGUAUUUAAAUCAUUUCUGUAAGUUGUUUUGUGUAUCUUUCUAAUACCUGGAAUAAAUUGGCAGCUUAUGAGGUUGGUGAAGUUCAUGAAAGGAAAAAGCAUUUAUGGAUUAGAGUUUCAAUCCCAAUUGCAAUGAUUACUCUGCUGAUCCUACUUGGGUUUCUAUCAUAUUAUAUAAAAAGCAGAAAACUUGAAUCAAAAGGUAAAGAUUUUCUUAUUUUUGCCUACUUAGACUCCAUUGUUUUGCUUUCUUUAGAAAUAGGUAAAUAUCUAUGAACAUGAUUCUUGACAGCAUUUGGAUUCUCUCUGUGUUUUAUGUUUCAGGGAAACUGAGUUUUGGUGAUACAGCAGUUGAUGAAUAUCAGUACCAAAAUGCUCCAAAUUUGCAAAUAUUCAAGUUUUCUGAAAUCAAAGCAGCUACAGGCAACUUUUCAUGCGAAAAUAGGCUUGGAGAGGGUGGAUAUGGACCUGUUUACAAGGUGAAUUUCAACAAAUCCUUCAUUUUAGGUGCUUCUUAUAAGGUUAAUAAAACUAGUAACUAUAUAUAUGUAUAUAAAAAUGAACUUGGAAUGAAUAUAUUCAAAUUGCUAUGUAUUUGAAUCAUUGGGUGUAAGAAAAUUCCAUAUUGACUAUUUUGUUGGGCUUCGUCAGGGUAAACUUGCAAAGGGAGGGGAAAUAGCAGUGAAAAGGCUUUCAAAAACUUCACAUCAAGGAUUUAAGGAGUUCAUGAAUGAAGUUAAACUUACAGCAAAGCUGCAACAUGUUAAUCUAAUAAGGCUUUUGGGAUUUUGCACUGAUAGAGGAGAGAAAAUGUUGAUAUACGAGUACAUGCCCAACAAAAGCUUGGAUUUCUAUUUGUUUGGUAAGUGAUAUAUUAUUUAUUUCCCUAUUUGGUUCUCUCUCCAGAUUAGAAAUAAUAAAAGAAGCUUAGGCUCGUAACUCUGUUUUUGAUGCAGAUCAAAAGAGAAGAUUGGAAUUGAAUUUGGAACGACGCGUUCAUAUCAUUGAAGGGAUUGCUCAAGGGCUUAUGUACCUUCAAGAAUACUCAAAUUUGACAAUAAUUCAUAGAGAUAUUAAAGCUAGCAACAUUUUACUAGACGAUGAGAUGAAGCCAAAGAUUUCUGAUUUUGGUAUGGCAAGAAUUUUGCAGAAGGAGAGCAACGAAGCCAAGACAGGCCAGAUUGUUGGGACAUAGUAAGUAAAUUGCUUCUUGAAAAGCAAUGUAUUUGAUAUCAUCUAACAAUUACAUACAUACAUAUACCAGAAUCCUCUCCUUAACCAUCCCUUUAUACCAGAACCAACCCAAAUUUCUCUAAGCUACAUCCAAGAUUUUCUCUAAGCUACAUCAUUGACUGAACAAGUUUUGACUUUGAUGAUAGCUUAAGUCUUCUGACACGUAACUGUUUCUUUUUUUUGAUAUCAUCUAACAAUUACAUACAUACAUAUACCAGAAUCCUCUCCUUAACCAUCCCUUUAUACCAGAACCAACCCAAAUUUCUCUAAGCUACAUCCAAGAUUUUCCGAAGGUGACAUCUUUUACUACAAAAUAAAUUGUUGACUAUAAAAUAAAUUGACUGUAAAAUUUUCGUUGUUUCAUCUUUAUCGGUCUUAAUCAAUACAUUGUUCACUCUAAAUAUAUAAAAAUAUAAAGAUGCACAUAUACACUCGUAGAGACAAUAUAAUAAAAUAUAAAAUUCUUAGAGCCAGUUAACUUUUAUAUAUAUAAUAUUUAUUUUAUAUUUUUAAAAGGAUAUUUUUUAUAUUUUUCAACUAUAUCUAAUUUGAUAUAUCUAAUUUUUACAUUUUACAUUAUUUUUACAUUGUUUGAUAUAUAAUUUUUCUAAGUUGAAAGAUUACGAAAUUAUAUCUAAAAUAUAUCUGUCAAAUAUCUUACCUAUCCAAUUCUCUCAUUUAAAUAUUUUACAAAGAAACAAAAAAAAGAAACAGUUACGUGUCAGAAGACUUAAGCUAUCAUCAAAGUCAAAACUUGUUCAGUCAAUGAUGUAGCUUAGAGAAAAUCUUGGAUGUAGCUUAGAGAAAUUUGUUCAGUCAAUGAUGUGUCCAUUACCAAAAUGUUGCCCAGAUAACAUAGCUUUGCCUUCUUCAAUCGAAAUUGUAUAAACAGGCAUACAAUUGCAUUUUAGAGUAAACAAUUUCUAUUCCAUGGAUGCUACCAUUGCAAUAUAUUAAAACAUCACCUAUUAAUUAAUAUUUUAUUCCUUUUUUCAUUCUAAUUAACCCCUUCAUUUGCAUUUAGCAAACGUUAAUAUUUAAUAAACAUUGAUUUUUUAUCAUUAAAUAAUAGAAAUACAAACUAAUGAUAUCAACUGGAAUUAUAAUUAAUAACCACUAAAUAAUGAAAUUACAGUAAUGUGAUUAACUAAUUGAAUUGAAAUAUAAUACCAAUUUAUUAAAGUUUUGCCUUAUAAUUAAAUCUUUUUAUAUUUUAUUUAAUUAUAAAAAAUUAACAAAUUAAUAAACAUUUCAAUUGAAUAUAUGAAGUUUCUAAAGUAAAAAGGACAUAAUUUAAUUUAUAAACAUUUCAAAAUAUUUCAAUCUAUUAAUUAAAAAUUUCAAUUUAUUACUUGAAAGUUUCAAAACGGAUAUAAUUUCACAUUGUAUCAUUUAAUUAAAAUAAAUUAUUUAAAUUAAAUGAACAACAAUUUUCUAAAAACAUUUAUCCUUCCAAUUGUUUAAAAAAAAUAUAAAAUUACACAAUAUGCCAACGGAAAUUAUAUAAACAUACUACUACUAGUAGUAAACUCAAAACUCUAUUAAUCUGUAGUCUAGGAUUCAUUAGUUAACUACCAAAGUAAGGGCCAAAAAGAAAUUAUUAACAUUUUUCUCCAAUUAACCACUAAGAUGUUUUCAAUGAAAAAAAGGGAAAAAGAAAACAUUUGAAAAAAGAAAAUCCAGACCAAGAAACGUUUUGAGUCGAGGCUCAGAUCUUAUUGUGUCAAUCAGGAAGGUGACCAGAGCUAUGGCUGCAACAAAGAAACUAAGUGCGACUGAGAGAGUUGGAGCCAAAAUAAAUAAAUAAAUAAAUAAACAAAGGGAAAAUAAUUAUUUCGUCCAUGAGGUUCGAAGCAAACAUUGUGCAGCCAAAAACGUUAUUACCCUUUUGAGUGUCUGAUUUCACUGAUCAGAAACAUCAUCACUGCCUCAAAAACACAAAGCUA